GCCGCUUCUCGUGAUCCCCUCUUCCGUCAGCUCCACUUCACCGGAACCGUAAGUCCAUAUGAGUAUGCGUAACCGACCACCACCAUCCUCCCCGCUCCCUCCCCUCCCCCAACCCGAUAUAGAUGCCUAACCCGCAGGAACGGGCAGGCGGCCGGCGGGCGACGCGAGGCGCGGUGGCGGCGCGAGGAAGACGGGCAGAUCCGGGCACGGUGUCGAUCGAUCUGGCGGCUGGUGUGGCGGCUUGUUCCAGUGCCAGCGGCGUCCUGCUCAUCCAGAGAAGGAGAGAGAAGGGCCUGAGGGAGAGAGGAAACAGAGGAAGAAAGAAGAAGGAGAAGGGACGCACGCAGGGUGAGAGAGGCAGUUGCCGGCGAUGACGGCUCCGGUGACUGGCCGACGGGCUUGCUAGGCAAGGCUAAGGAGUACGCUAGCCUGAGAUUCGAUAGAGGUGUGUUUGAUUUUUAUAUUUGGGUUGAACAGCCAGUUUGCUGUGUUUGACAUGUCGUGCCUGAGAUUUUGUUCUGGAACAUGCUGCUUUAGUUGGUAAAAUCAUUCUUGGGUAGAUUUAUCCGAUGUACUGAAGUAUCAUCCUAUGGAGUGCAUGAAUUGAAUGAAUUUUUGAAUUUUGAGCAGUAUGAUGUCAUGGUAUUUGAUUAGGUUCUUCUGCGAAUCCGCACCAAAACCAUCCUUGUAAUUUGUUGUUCCCUCUCUCUUAUCUGUGGUGCAUCUAGCUUUGGCCCAGUCCUAAAAAGAUUGAUCUCAUUGUUGUGAAUUUUGCACCACAGGGAAGAAGUUGUGGUGGCGGAGAAUUAUACAGCCAUUGUCUCUCACGACUGCCGGCCCCUGCUCGCGACGUCUCUACUGGAGCCGCCUCUGCCUACUCUGGUGUGUUGCAGCUCCUUACUCUAGCCACAUGCCGCUUGCUUUCCUGCUAGCCUCUGCCUCCUCUGGUCUCGAAGUUGAUGAGACCCUGAUGCAAAGCGUCCAUGCAAAGCUCCCACAAUCAUCCGCUCCAUCUCAGCGUAAGAAUCAUGCUCGCACGUUACCUGUCAACUAUAUUAGUUCAUUGCGUAUGUGUGUAGCCAUGCUUUAGUUUUAGUAAUUGUUUGAUAUUACAGUUUGGUUACCCUUUUCUGCUUUGUUAGAAAAAACAUGUCCAGCUACAGAAAAGGAGUUUGUAUCCAGCUUGACCUCCAUAGCAGGAAGAUUUUAGUAAUCAUUCUAUCAAUGUUCUAUUAAUGGACAGAGGAGGAGAGCAAUGGAAAUAACACCCCGUCGCGGUCCUGGUGCUUCUCUCCGUGGGCUCGCUUGCUCACCUCGGCGUUUGCGGCUUCUACAGGUACGUACUAGACGACUACCAUUGUUUUUGUUUUCUAUUGACAGUUUGAUCGCUCCAUCAAUCCUUCUAGAGGGUCUUGACAGGAAGGACUGAGCAGCCACUGUGCUGGAGUAGACUGUGUGACAGGUUUUUACCUCUCUCUCCUACCCGUGAUUGGUUUCUUUGGUGAAGAAAGCAUCACCAUCUUUCAAUACAUACUAGAUGCUUGUAUGUCUACAUGGUACAAGAAUGAAGAUUAACCAUUAAAUAUCUUGAUUCAGAGUGAGACAAGGGUGAAACAGAAUAACCUCAUUUUGUGGUGAGUUCUCCUAAAGAUUUUAAUGAGCAGACAUCGGUUGAUGAUAGAGGCUUUGUUAAGCUUGUUUUGAUCCAAAUCCAAUAAUAAAAUUUGAUCAAUUCCUCUAUAAUCUACGGAAGUUGCAUAUAUUUGUCAGGAAUAAUCAGCUUGAUUGAUAAUUUAUAUUUUUCAUUUUGCAGUUUGUAUCUGGUGAAACUUUAUAGGCCAGUUAACAUACAUAUAGAAAUAGUGUCAUUUUCCUUUUAAAAAAAGAUUAGCGUUGCAUGUUGAUAGUAGCAUUGGCCAAUAAUUUCACACCGAAAAGAAUCUAAGAUGAGACAGAAGCAGAUGGACUGCAAGCUAUAACUGAGUAGUGCACAACGACAGAUAAACUAACGAAUACAAACUCUUAUUUAUUUUGUAAGUGUUGCAACACAUGGGCUUGUAAUUCAUGGUUCGUACAACGGCCGUAGCAACACAUGGUCAUAUUUUUAUCAAAAACUGUGGCUGCAAAACCAGGGUUCAAAAUGAACAUCCAUUCCAUUGAAUCGUGGGUACAACAUGAGGCAUCUGUCUCUGAUGUGUUGUUACUUUGGUAGAUAAUAUGUACUGUGCGUGCGUGCAUGUGUUGAUAAGUAGCAGAUUUGCUUGGCCGCCUGUGACACUCAUGUCAAAUCCUUGACAUUUCUGGGGUUAUACAAGCAUCAUGUUUUCUAAGGUUUUGUUUUCCCGGCAUCCAUCUCUUCCAUGGCAAGCAGCACAAGUUUAUUUGUUUGUAAAUUAAGCAGUCUGGUAGAUUUGGAAAGGAGGAACAGGGUACUGAACUUCUAUAUAUAUCUGCAUAAGGUACAUCCCAGUUAAGCAGAUUUGUUUUUAUGUUCUGAACAGGGUACUGAACUUGGUAAUUUUACCUUUCUGUUAUGAAUUGCAGAUUUGCAAGAAUAUUAUGUUAUGUAAGAACAUGGCGGUGCAAUCACCCGAGGUGAAGAAGCUCCGUCACCUACCUCUACCUCCUCCACUAGGCUGACAAGCACAACUGCUGACAACUGAUAAGUAUGCUAAUCCACCCUCAUCUGCAUCGCCUCCUCCCAGCCCGUGGUUUAUUACUUGGAGCAUGUUGUUCUUUUAUCAUAUACACAAAUCUGUCCAUGCUUAAAUGUGGUCAUUAGAUUGUGGAACAGGAGAAACAAUAUAGUGUUAUUUAGCAGAUGCGAACCUGUCCAUGCUUGAUUUGGACCAAGAAUUACUGGUGUUGCCUAUUUGGUAUGUAAACAUAUUUUUUUGGAUGUCACAGAAAAUUACCAUGCUACUACAUAGGUUUGAAUCAAACAAAUUAAAUUUGGAAUAGGAUCCCUGAAAGUAAUAAAGCGCUUCUUGAAUGCAUGGAAACAAAAGUUAGAUAUCUCAGAGGUACUAUGUCAUAUAUUCUGAAAGUGGCGCACAUGGAUAUGUAUAUUCUUGUUUAGCUUUAUGUUCUAUUUCUGUUGUACAUUCUAUUUCUGUUGUACAUGCUCCAAAAGUAAAUGUGUUAUUCUGAAAGGAGAUGAAGUGAAUUGUCUUCUACUGCAACCAAUGGACAUUUCAUUCUACACAUAUGUCCUGAUAUUGUAGUGCCACUUGAUUUCCUUCAAAAUUUCAGUACCAAUUGAGCAAUAUUGGGCUUUCCUUUUUCCUAUAUUAAGUAGUGAUCAUGGAGUCAAAGCUCAUGGAGAUGGUCUGUUACUGAUUGUUGCACCUAUAGAGCUCAGUAAUAUAACAUUUGCUAGUUCAUCUAACUUAUUUGAUCUAUAUGUUGUUUUUUACCUGCAACACGAAGAGAAACACAAGCUCGAUUAGUUCAUAAAUUUUAAAAUUGUACAUUUUGUAUAACUAGUUUGCUGCCCGUGCGUUGCCACGGAAAAAUAAAGCCCCUUUGACUCAUAUAGGAUAUGAUUAUUUUAGAAAUAUAGUAAAAUUAUAGGAAAUAAGAUGUCAUGUAUCUCAAAUACUAUAGGAAAAGACAUCAUUUGGGAAUGGCUAAGAGUCAAUCGACAGGAAUUUUGAUUUGGGCUAGUCAAUUUGGCCUCGAUCAGUUACAAGCGUUAGAUAAAAAACGAACGGCCCAAAUUAUGUCUUCUUCCUCCAAACGUUUUACAGAUCACAUCGCUGCAGCGUCCGUCUUCUUCUUCUUCCUCCCGCCGCCUACUACCACCAGCCAGGCCGCCUGCUGCCGCCGCCCAUGGCUUGCGGCGCUCUCAUGGCCGCCUCGCCACAUCGUCCUCCCCUCAACCUCCCACACCGCCGGUCUUGCCGCCUUCCCCAACCAUCCCUUAGCCCCGGGCCUCACCGGUUUUUUCUCCGGCGAACUUGCACCACAGCCCCCACCCCCACCCUAAGAUAGAUCAUGGGGAAGCUUCUCCGGCUAGCCCCCCGCUACGGCUGUUUCUUCCUUCCCUCCGGUGCCUCCUUCCUUCUAGCAAAAAUCCACUGACCAUUCAGGCGACUGAUGUUUAGCUAUUGUGAUGUUUCUUUUCAUCAAGUCUUAAGUAAUAUAUUUUUGUCUCUUGAAAUGUGAAGGAUAGAAACCAAUCCGAAUAGGCCCUCAUUUUCCUAGUUUGCUUCACACUCUUAUGCAAAAGAAAUGAUACCCAAUUCAACUUCAACUCAAAUAUACCACACAUAAUAAGGCAUGCUUUUUUCCCGUCUAUACAUGGUUUUGCUUUCUACUUGGCUCCACCCCACAUUGGAAAUCUUCACCUCCCUCUCCCUCUCCCUCUCUUUCUCGUCGUUGCCUGGCCCUGCUCUACUUCACCAAAAAAAUAGAGAACACAAAUAUUGUUUUUGUUGUAGCCACACAUAGACGCCAGGGAGUGUUUUCGGCAGCGUGCAUGCAUGACCUUAUUAUCUUGCUAUUCAUCUUAAUAGACAAGUCAAUCACAUUCACAUGAGACGUGAGGAGCUUUUUUCAUACAUCAUGAUCAAGAAUAUUGUUUAUUUCUAUCAAUCUUCAAUAAAACAUGGACAUAGCAAAAAGAGAGGAUACAUGCAUUUGUUUCCUUAACUUAGGAUGAUGAUUAAAAUAUCAAGGAUAAUCGUGUCUACCAAUCCACUAUCUAAUUCUAAUCCUAGACACAUAUAUAUCAUUGCAUCUUCUGAAAAUCAUCCCAAUCUUUUGUACAACACAAUGUUCAAGGCACACUGCAAUAGCACAUACAUAACUGAUAAUUUAUCAAAUUUAGAAGAAAAAAAGACUUCCAUUACCUGGGUGUCACUUUCGUUUUCAUGAUCUAAGGCAUAACCAUUGGAAGCAAAUCCUGCAGUUCUAUGUUCCCAAGCAGAAGAGCAUUUGUGAAGCACACCUUCACACGCAUGACAAUAUCAAUCACCCCCCUCGAGUUUAGACCUGUCACAUAUGCACAGACCAAAAUAAAUAAAGACUUCCGCAGAGACACAUAACAUUAUCCAAUAGCUAAUACUUCUGAAAGUGAGCAACUUUUUUGAGAACUGGAAUUUGCGGAAAUUUGCUCUCUUGAUGGCCUAAUCAAGACGUACAAUAUGGUUGCUUGUGAUUUGUAUAUUUCCAGCCGCUGGCAAAAACCUAGGAGUUGGAUAAAGGUUCCAUAAGUUUCAGUUGUAUCUUUUUUCUUUAGCGGGAAAACAUUCAGGCAUACCCACCAUUCACAUGCAUACAUUUUUUAUUUUUUUAGAACAAACAGCAUGUAAGUCAAUCAGGAAAACUAUCUCUGUAAAUUAUGCACAAACCAGCUGCCGUAAAGAGUUUUAAAAAUCUAAUGCAACAUAGAUCUGUGUAUACUAUCCUAAACUAAUGGUUAGUAUAAGCAGAGGCAAAGCUUUUGCCCUUUUUCACACGAACCAUGAAUGCAUUUUCUACCACAUCUGACGUUGCUACAUCACAUAAUCGAAAAAAUCUUGAAAGUGUCAUAUUCUACAAGUCUACCUGCCAGAAGUGAACUCAAACUGGAUGGUUAAAAAAAAUGGCCACUAAUAACUUACACAUCACAUGGAAAUUAAUCAACUCACUUUUUGAGAUUUACUUGACAUAUCGUGAUGGAGACCUUGGAAUAUUAUGUGCAGAUUUUGAGGUUAUGUUCCAUGCACAAGAGAUGGGAUAGAUAACACAACUAAGCAAACAAGUAACGAACUAUUCUAAGUGUCCAGUUUAAGAAGAUUAUCUCCUGCUCAUAUAAACCAUUCGACUAACAAAAUCGAGUCAUGUGUGAAAUUUAUUCCGCCAAGCACAAAUAUUUUAUGAUGAAUUAGACACCAAAUAUUUACUUAUUUGAUUAGGGGGCUACCUCUAGAAAUAGCAGCACAUGAGUAUAGAGUAUAUGACUACAUAUGCCAAUUCUGAAGAAAUUGAGCUGUUGUGUAUGACCAACGUUGCAUGUGUUCGCCACGACUCGGUGGUCACCACGCCGGAAAUGACCCUCACCUUGACAUCUAUCUGCAGGCAAUCAACAUGGUGGGUAGUGGUUAGUGGCAACAACUGAACUGACGGUCAGAUCGCAGCAGCUAGCAGAAUGGUCAGUUACCUUGGUGGAACCAUACAGGUCAUGGAGCCAAAAACAUAUGAAGCAAGAUAGAUAAAAUUCAGACUGGCGACCAAUCCAUCUUCAGUUCCUGGCUUUACGACUAAAAUCAGCACAUCGGUCUGUGAGCUGUUCAACCUAGCUAGCCCGGUGAACCUGAAUGACAAUAAAGUUACCUCAAUACUUUGAUCCAGAUUGAAGAAGGCUGUACAGACCCUCUCUACAGAAACAUGUGCUAUUGAAGAAUAAUAUGUCAUUGACGAUCAUGUAUUCCUAAUUUCCUAUACACUUCCGAUGCCCGUUGCAACUUCUCAUACAUAAGGAACAUAUGGUGCUCAGUGCUAUAGGAAGGAAAUAUUGGUGCAGAUGGCAUGAAUACAGCAUCAUACAAACAGCUAAGUAUGAAAACCACCUUGUUGAUCAUGGCGCCGCCGAAGACCUGGAGCUGCCGCUUGAGAACACCCUGCUCAUCUCCCGUCCUACGAAGAAGCAGAGGUCAGGGAGGCGCAGUACAGCACCGAGGGCAGCCAUCGGUGAUGGGAGGACCCUGGAGCCUGGUGUACUGAAAGCAGUAGCGUCGGCGUCCUCGUCGUUGGCGGCGGCGUCGUCCAGGAAAUUGCCACAUCUUCUAGGUCGAUCCCUCAAUCGGCGAUGCGAUGCGGCGUUCACUUGAGUGGAAUGGGGGCGUGCACUUCUCCGCCUACAGCUCGCCGUGGAAGCCUUGGGCUGCUGGUAGCGCCAGAAAUAUGGUGCCCGGAGAGGCUGUGCCGCACCGGGGCGGCAGCGUGAGUGAGGCAUUGAGCCCGUGCGCCGCUGGGGCACCGCCGCACCAGGACGCCGACCGGCAAGAGAGAAGGGGAAGAAGUCGACCUCCCAUGGAGAAUAGGGAGGCAGCCAGGCAGGGAUGGGCGCGGACGGCGAGGACAAGGGAGCUCGCCGUCAACCAGGAAGACGGCGAUGGCGGCCAACCAUACUUUGUCCAGCAAGAAAGCCGCGGGUGACGACGGGUAGUCAAGACGGCGGCGGGUCGUAGGACGUGCGGGGAGUCGUGGACUCGUGGGUGGAGGUUGACUGCGUGCGUGGAUGGUGGUUUCCGAUUUGUACUCGCUUUUUUUUUGGUUUUUUGUGCGUGAAAUUUUCAAUCGUGCGGGAGCGAGGGGUGAGACGAAGGGGGAGGAAACUGGUUGAACCAUCACGACGUUCGAUUCUCCUUUAAUAGUAGAGAUUUAUGCUGGUUCCAGUCACAACAUGCCAGCAUCUAAUCCUUGCAGCAACACCAGGACAAGACUUUGGAUAUUUUCCUAUACAUUUGACAUUAAAGUUAUACUAACUUGCAUCCAUCGAUCACUAGCUAUUACAUGCAGUAUGUAAUUAUGCGAUGUCAAUGGAACAUCCAAAACGUUUAAAUACGACCUCUUAUUCUACACAAUUGUUUAUGCUUUUACAAAUGACAAAGCAGAUAUAGAUUUUAAGAUAGUCUAUAAUUAUAAUAAAACAAAGGAUUGUUUUCUUGAAAGAAAAACGAGGGAUUGUUAAUAUGUUUAAAUAUGAGGAUUUUCAGUACUGUAGGUCCUUACCUCUUCUUUUCCAAAGUAGAGAGACAAAAAAAUCUGACCCCACUAAUCGGUACAUGCAGCAGUGAGGAACCAAGCAAAAGGGGAGCUUGGCUGCCAAUGGGGUGAUGGAAAGAUUGUAGGGGGUGCUUGCCACAUAUCUUCAAUUUGAGAAUAUUGAUUUCCCUUCUACAAUAUCAAUUAGUAAGCAUUUUCCAAACUGUACGGAAAACAUGUUCUGGAGUUAAUCUACUUUGCUUACUAUUCAUGCGAGAUGGCAGAAUACUUUGCUUAUUAUUCUCUUCAAUUAUUUCUAGAUUACAACGAUGCCAAUGUUCAGGAGUUAAUCUACUGCAAAAAAAAUGACACACCAUUGUCAAGUUGGAAGGAAUUCUGCCUGCUGUAUCUAUUUGUUUUUCUGCUUCUGGCAUAUCCACCGACUCUGUUAACACCAAACAAAGUAACAAACUUGACAAAACUGAAACUCAUCUCCCAGAUUUCUCUAUGCACCGCCAUAGAUUCCGAUUUGUCCAUUGUCUUUAUAACUUACAUUUUGUAUGUAUCUGAAAGCUAAUUCAGCAUGACCCACGAGUGUUGAUUUGUAUGUUAGUGUGAUACAUCUCACUGAAAAUAUUGACCGAAAAAAGGAAAAUAUAUAUUAGGUGUGUGUUAUAAGAAUCAGUAGUCCAUGCUGCCAUGCAACCAAUAUGUAGUCAGACUUUAAAACCAUUGUCAUGCAAAAAUUACCAUAACUUUUUGAGUACUUCGGUUAUCCAGGUUUUUAUAUAGAGGUUCCCUUUGUUGUAGGAUGUCUCCAUCUAUGGUCGAAAUUAUUUUAUUUCAAAGAAAUCCAGUAAAAGUGCUCUUUUCUACACUCCAGAAUUCUUUCUGACUGCUCCCCAAACUCAACCUCGGUCAUCAUUUCCUUCUAAUAAUAUUAAUUAAUGUCACCACUCAUAUAGUGUUUCAAAAUAUUGCUUCUUACCCGAAUUUAAGAAUGUAUUAGAAAACAACACCAACUCACGAUGUAUUAGAAGUGCUCUUUUCUACACUCCAGAAUUCUUUCUGACUGCUCCCUCAACUAAACCUCGGUCAUCAUUUCCUUCUAAUAAUAUUAAAUAAUGUCUCCAUUCAUAUAGUGUUUCAAAAUAUUGCUUCUUAUCCGAAUAUAAGAAUGUAUUAGAAGCAUUUAUCAGCUGUACAUAUCUUAAUACUUGACCUUCAGUGAGGACUCGUUUCUUAGGAGAAAUAGUUGGAGAGCAACAAUUGAUUGGUAAGUCUUGCUUGCUAUUAGUUGCAUAAUUAAUAUUGAAAUUCGUUUGUUUGCUUCAAGGUUACAAAGCCAGCAAUGAAUGAGACUAUCAUUAUUAGGAUUGAAGGAUGGUUCAAUGUUGUUGAUAGCAGUAAGAAACACUUGCAAAUGUAUGUCUCAUCUAUUUAAAUGUGUGCUCUAAAAAUAAAUGUACACAACUGUCACAAUAUUGUUUAGUACAAUAUUUGAAUUAGAAGUAGUAGUUUUAUGUUUUUGUUUAGUUUUAUAGUAUCUCAGUUAUGAAAUAAAUCCAAGCCUUCCUCCAAAUAGGUUUUUUUGCCUUGAUUUUUAUAAUUCAAAUAAUUUUUGUAUUUUAUAAUAUUCAAACAAAAUGGUUUGUAGAGUCAAUGUUCUCUGACUUAGGUAGCUUUAAUUUAAUGCACUAACGAAGCGUUUUACCUGAGACGAGUGCUGGGAGAGGCUGAUUAGGAUUGCAACAAGGGGGAGACGUCGAUGCUGUCGCUGGCGACCGUUACCGCGACCAUAGCUGUGGGAGUGAGGCGCCGGCGACCAUGGCAUCGACCGUGUUGGCCCAUGGUGUUUCAAAUUUUCCAUGCUCCGUUCCAGGUAGCUGCCAUUCCGAUUGAUCCCCUCCAGGUGAGUGAGCAGCUUACACUCAACCGAUGCAGGCAUCCAAAGGCUCGACUGGGUGGCUAGGAACUCAGCUGGGCUCACUUCCAUUUGCAUUCUUUUCUGCAACAUCGGAUACUCCGGAAAGUUCAUGCAUGUUUGUUUUCUGAUAUGGUUUUUCUCAUAAUGCAGGGCACAAAGAUAGGUCUCCUUUUAGUUACCAUAGAUUUUAGUUUUUUUCUGCUUACUGUCUUCUCCACUUUCUUGUCAGAUUAAGCAACUAACAAAUGAAUCUGUGCACAUUUAUACCAUUUUUGCACUCAUUUAUGGGUCCAUCUAUGUUGAGUAUGUGUGUUCUGCUAUUCUGCAACUUAAAUCAAUAGGUAGUGAGAAGAUGCGAUAGUUUGAACCUCCUCCACUUCUUCUGUACAAGAUUGGUCAUUUUCCAAAGGGAUGGAAGUAGCUGUUUAGAGGAUCCACUCACAUGAGGUACACCUCAUAAUUUUAAUGUGAACUUAAAUAUUUUGUAUAGCUAUCCAAAAUCUGUGGAUGAACUGGGUCUUGUGUUGCUUAAAGAGUUUGAGCUUGGACUAAUGUUAGUAUUCUUUGUCACAUUGAACCCGGUAUAUCAAAUGGUUAUAUGGUAGAUUACAGAACAACAUCAACACAGGCAACAUUGAUUAGGUUGGUGUGCAUAAGAUGGUCCUCAGUGAGGAAGUCCAUAACAGCCUGCUAAUCCUAGGCAUCAAGGCCGAUCGAAUCCGAUCACGACAAUCUCAUUGUGUGUUAGCUAAGGCAAGAGUUCCGCACUUGCUCCACUUCCACCAUUGCCACUAUUUGCCGCCGGCGCUUGAUGCAGCGGAGUGUGUAAAAGGAGAAUGUGAAUAAGGAAGUGUGCACGGGAGUAGUCCGUACCUUUUUAUCACAGCGAGGGAGUUAACCCACACUAGCUCCACAAUCUGCUGACCAGCGGUUGCCUGGUUCGAGCCGAUCAACAAUUUCCAUUGAGAGCAAGGUGGUGCAGGGCACCUCGUGGAUGACCCUGUGUAUGCUUCAUAACCAAAACAUAGUCUUCUUUUGGUUAUCUGAUUUUCUUUCAUAUUUGUCCCAAUAAAAUUUGGCCCUGUGGUAACUCACAGGCACAUACCUCGACUAUAAUUAUUUCAAAAAAAGAGACAAAAUAUCGCAUAAUAUAUAAAUCAUUUCAUAUAUCAUGGCAGCAAAACCAAAUUGUGGUGGUCGCCCUCAGCUACGACAUUGUGCGUUUCUUAGAACUGGGAAUCGUCUGAUUCAGUGUGGAGGAGAGGAGGGGCGAACGACGCCAUGCAGGGAAGGAGAGAGUAGUGAGAGGAAGUUGCGAUCUGAAUGAUGUGGUGCAAGGGGGCAGGCGCAGUGAGAUACCGUGGAGGGGAGACAUGACAGCGAUGAUGAUGUGGCGAGGAGAGCCUGAUGGGGUAAUGAGGUAUGAGUGUGAGCGUUGUGCCAAUGACAGUCAUCCUACUUUUUUAAGAUGAGAAGAAAAGGAGUGGUUGUUGCUUUUUGUGAGGGAAAAUUGAUUGCUUGCCGUUAGAGAAAUGUCACAUACUUUUUUAUAUAGUGAAAAAUAUCACAUACCCUAGGAAGUCAUUUCUGGAGAAUAAUUACCCACAAGUGAUUUAUAGGUGAGUCUACAAGCAUGAUGCCUCACUUUGAGUAAAAACGGUCACAUGCUCGAAGAAAGCAUCUUACCAAUGAAUAUAUACUCUCUCUGUUCAUAAAUAUAAGUCUUGUAAGAGAUUUUAAUAUAGACUACAUACGGAGCAAAAAUGAGUGAAUCUACGCUUUAAAAUACUUCUUUAUUCAUCCGUAUGUAGUAGUUAAUAUUCAAAUAUCUAAAAAGACUUACAUUGGAAUGGAGGAAGUAUUAUAUAUGGGCUUAUCUUAGUUUUAUUUUAUUUUAGUAUGUGUUUAUAUACUCACUUUUGGAGAAUAGAGAUAACAACUGAUGGUUUCCAAUGAUGGUUUGAAAAAUGUCCAUUGACAAAGCUUUAUGAUAGAUGGACUGAAAACUUGAGUGUUACCCAAUUGAAAGAGAUGCAUACAAAUAAUUAUUCUUUUUUAUAUAUUGUUGCACAUGAUAAUACAAAAGGUGUCUCCCCUUCUUAUUUUUAUAUAUGUCUAUUUUUUGCAGGGUAUGAAAGAGAUAAAGAUGUAUUAUGUUGAUGUUCAAAAGGAAUCCGUUCGACAAGAAUGUUGACGCGAUGUUGUUGGAAGGGACCAAAAAUCAUUGAGUUAUAUAUAAUAAUACAUGUAUAUGUACAAUCAGAACAAAAAUUAAAAGGCCUGUGGCAACGCACGGGCAUUGUACUAGUACGUACAAGACGAGAGAACAUACACGUACACGUACAUGCUGCCGCCGUGUCCGAUCCUCUUGGAAACCCUAUCCCGAGUCUUCCCCUUCCCCAAGCAAGUUGUCCUAUAAGUACCCCUGCCCCUCCUCUCUCGAUCCCCUUCAAAAGCCCUCGCUAAAACCCACCGUAGCGCCUGCAGUCGUCAAACCGAUCUCGCUUCGGUUGCCGCCGUUCACCGUCGUUUCCAUCGUCGGUGAGCCUCCUCGAGACCCCUCCCUCUGUUCUUGGGUUCCCCUCACCAUUGCGCCCCUCAGGUUUGACCGGAGCCACCGCCUCAAGCUCGCAACACCGCCGGAGUUCAUCCAGAGCACGGAAGUUUAUGCCGAUGCCCGCUCGACUCCGAGUCUCCUUGCCUCACUAUCCGCAGAAAAUCGGACCCCUCGGAGUUCUGCAUCCACUGGACAUCGCCGUCUCCGCCGCCGGUCACCGGAGCCACCAUCCCGCCGGCGCCCUGCUUCUCUGCCACCGCCGUUUCCUCUCUGUAAGUCACAUACGUGUUAGCUCCUUCAUUUUUUUAUUAUUCAAAGUGUUAAGUGCUAGAUCGGUUUUAGUAGAUCGGUUCUUUAGAUCAAUUGGUUUGGUUUAGUACACGGUUUAUUAGGUUUAGAUCGAACCGGCUUGCCGGUUUUCUGUUUUAAACAUACGUGCACGUUUCUGUAAAGUUCCGGCCGAGCGACGGUUAGUUACAGAUCGCUCAGCUCCUAGCCCAGUAGACUUGCCCGUUCUGUUUUUUUUUUAUUUUCGUUUCUAUAAAAAACAGAAAAGUUUCAACCUUAGAUAUUCUAUAACUUUUAUGUUUUAGAUCCAAAUUGAGUGAUUCUUUCUGCCUUGUGUCACAAAUUUGUUGAAGUUUCUGCUUGUGUACUUAGUUUUCAAAUUUGAGUAGUUCAAAUUUGAGUUUGAUGAAAUUUGUUCAAAUCACUAUUUUGGCCGUAUCUUGAGUUUUAUAAAAUAUUUUUGAUUGAUUCUUUUUGCUACUGUUUUGUUAUUGUUUGGUUUAUCCAGUAGCNNNNNNNNNNNNNNNNNNNNNNNNNNNNNNNNNNNNNNNNNNNNNNNNNNNNNNNNNNNNNNNNNNNNNNNNNNNNNNNNNNNNNNNNNNNNNNNNNNNNNNNNNNNNNNNNNNNNNNNNNNNNNNNNNNNNNNNNNNNNNNNNNNNNNNNNNNNNNNNNNNNNNNNNNNNNNNNNNNNNNNNNNNNNNNNNNNNNNNNNNNNNNNNNNNNNNNNNNNNNNNNNNNNNNNNNNNNNNNNNNNNNNNNNNNNNNNNNNNNNNNNNNNNNNNNNNNNNNNNNNNNNNNNNNNNNNNNNNNNNNNNNNNNNNNNNNNNNNNNNNNNNNNNNNNNNNNNNNNNNNNNNNNNNNNNNNNNNNNNNNNNNNNNNNNNNNNNNNNNNNNNNNNAUUUCAGUUCUAGUUUCGUUUUAGCUUUUUCUUUAUAUUUUUAAUUGUUUUUAAAUUAUUUCUUUUUGUCACUUUUGACAAUUUUACUUUUCUUUCUGCUAAGUCAACAAAAUAAAAUUUUAUUUUAUUAUUUUACAAAUUUAUUUUAUUUAGUUUUGUAUGAAAACUUGUAAAGGUCAUAGUUAGAGUUUCAUAAAAGCUUCUAAUUUGUUUCUAUUUUUGCAAAUAAAAUUUAAUGAAAAAUACUUUACGUUAACUUAGUUGUUUUACUUUUUUAUUUUCUAUUAAUUUAUUAAUUCAGUGUUUUAAUUGUUGUUAAGUUUUUACUUAGGACAAAACUAUUUUGUGUUAUGUCUUAGAGUUUUCUUUAGUAGUUUUGUUGUGUAGUUUUCCUUUGUUUUAUUUGGUGUCCCUUGUUCUUUUGCAUUUCAUUUGUUGGUUUAAUUAUGAGUGUUAGAAUUGCUUCCUAGUGUGUUUGCUUAUAUAAAUGCUAUGCUUGACUAAAUAGAUUUUCAACGGAGUGACGAAUAGUUCUACCAACUCAUUAUUCUGAGAGCGUUAUAAUCUUCAUCAAGUAUUACCAGGCAAGUUCACUUUGACCAUACUUUCAUACCUAUGUUUUUAUUGCAUUUAAUGGCAUCUUUGCAACAACCCUCCAGUAGUGAUAUUGAAUUCUUGUAGUUGAGUAGUAUGCAUGAGGUAGGAACCCAUCACCCUGUUACCAAGCCCGGGAGUUAUUUAUUUUAAUGCUACGCUAUAGUAGACGGGGUUUGGUAUGAGUGCAUGAGAGUGGUGUGAAGGAGGACUCUAUGUCAAUGACGACAACUCCAUGAUGGCAUCUGCAAGGACUGCACCUUCAAGGCCUCAAGACUUCAAGACUCGAGACAAGAAUUCAAUACACACUACUGGGUGAAGCACGGUUGAUGGGUACCCUGGAGCAACCAGUGGAUGGCUGGGAUGCAUGGAGAAGCGCCAUGACAUCUUGCGGAAAGCUUCACCCAGACUCAAAGAGACGGAAGAAUACUUCAUGCCCGAAAGCUUACCUGUGCAACCGCAAGUCAUUAUGGGCUCUGGCUUGGUUGACCUUAGUUGUGACUCUUGCUAGGAUGGUGCUAGCAGAUGUAGAACUACGGUAGGAUUGGAUGAGCACCGGACAAUGGUCAGGGGAACUCUUCGGAAGACCAUGUUUUGGUUGUCUUGUUCUCAAACACCUGAAGUGCAAGAACGUAAAGAGAGGGAUCAAAUCUUGCGGGUAAAGUGUACAAACCUCUGCAGAGAAUUAAACCUAAUCGAUUAGCCGUGUCCCCGGUUACGGACAAUUUGUGCAUCUGGACCUGGAUCUAUCUUGGAACUCUCAAUAAUGGACUGAUAACUUAAUUGUGGGCAACUUAUGAGGAGUUGGGCUAUGAGACAUCGGUUGGCGGAACCAUGUCAUGAUAGAAAACUCUUUAGUACAGACUCCGGUUUUAUCCUUUGAUGUAGGGAAAAUAAAACCAGCUUUUACGCAAACAAAACUCAGACCCAGAGCCAUAAAGCCAUAUUGCAUAUAGUAUAGUUUUAUCAUCUGUUUUCUCAUGUUGUGAUCUUGCCGGUACAUUUAAUGGACUGACCUACACGGCUGCAACGUAUCAUGUUGCAUAUAUUUUUCUUCCGACGAGUAAGAGUAUGGUACAGGGUUACGGUCUACACUCGACCUGUCGAUGGCGUUGAUGGGACUCCACACCCGAUUACUUGUUUCCGCUGAGACUUAUGAGGUAUAUAUAAGUUCUACGUUAUUUAUACAUGUGAUUGCACUUUGAUAUAUAUAUUGAUGUACUGUGUGUGCCAGCAUACUGAUCUAGGGAUGGCACGGAUACACAGAGGCUUGACCGUCUGAGGUCGGGUCGCUACACAUGACUAACCACUCAUUUAAUCUAAACUUAGUUUUAAAUGUUGUUUUCCAUUCAUCCCCCAAUUUCAUACGAAUUUGAUGGUAUCCAUUAUGCAAAUCAACUUCGGAGAAUAUUGUAGAGCCACUCAAUUCAUCAAGCAUAUCAUCUAGCCUAGGAAUAGGAUGACGAUAACGAAUAGUAAUAUUAUUAAUGCCUCUACAAUCAACACACAUACGCGAUGUACCAUCCUUUUUCGGCACUAGAAUAAUAGGAACAACACAAGGACUAAGGGAUUCGCGUAUAUAACCUUUGUCGAGAAGCUCCUGUACUUGACGCAUAAUCUCCUUCGUCUCCUCUCGAUUGGUACAAUAUGGCACACGGUUUGGCAAUGAAGCACCGGGAAUUAAGUCAAUUUGAUGCUCAAUCCCUCGAAUAUGCGGUAAUCCUGGUGGCACGUCUUGUGGAAAGACGUCAGCGAACUCCUGCAAAAUGUUAGUGACAGCAGGAGGCAAAGAGGAAGGCACGUCCUCGAAUGAACAUAAUGCAUCGUUGCACACAAAAGCAUAGCAAACAGAUUUGCUGAAAUCUAGCUCAUCAAUAUCAGAUUUGGUGGCAAAUAAACAUGCACUUUUCAAUUUAAUUUCAGAAGCAGCACUAGAUGGUUUAUUAUUAGGCCUCAUUUGUUGCUAAAAUUCUUUUGCCACAAUCUGAUUUUCACUCUUAUUCUUCUCCUGUUUUGCUUUAUUAGCUCUAUUAAUAUCAUCUUUCAAAAUGGAAUCAGGAGUCAUUGGAAGCAAAGUAAUAUUUUUAUCCUUAUGUACAAGAGUAUACUGAUUGUUUCUACCAUGGUGUAUAGAACUUUUAUCAAAUUGCCAUGGUCGACCAAGUAAUAAGGAACGUGCUUGCAUAGGUACCACAUCACAAUCAACAUAAUGAGCAUUUGAUGUAGUAAGGAUGUGGAUGUGGUCUUGUGGUGAGAGAUAGCUUCUCCACCAUCUCCAUGCUAGCCAAGUUGUUGCAGCUCCCUCUAUCUAUGAUGACGCGCAAAGAACGUUCCUUCACAACUCCAUUUGUAUGGAACAAAUUAUGCCUCUGAUUUUGCUCAACUUGUGUAACCUGCACACUCAAAACACGUUGAGAAACUAAAUAUUCAUACCUGUCAGCAUCUUCAGGAGCCAUGCAUUGUGUCUCAUGAUCAGAAUCAUCUCCAUCGUGUUCUUCACUUGUAAUAAGAGCCAAAGUCUCCUCAUCAUGGUCACUAGUGCACUCAUAUCCACCAUCCUCAGCAGCAAUCAUCACACGCUGAGAUUUGCAUUCUUGCGCAUAAUGUCCUCUUCCCUUACAACGACGACAAAUAAUAUCACUUGUGUGCCCUGUUGAUGCCACGGAAGAACAAGAGCUCUGUGUAGGCCCGGCAGGUGCGUUCUUGGCAGGUAGUGGUGGUUGUGCCUGCUUUCUUGUAUCACGGCUGGAGGUGGCACCUGAUGGAGGUGUUGGUGCAGUGGAAUUAGAAGAUAGACGCGGUGUCCAUGAUGAAGGUCGACCUGCAGAAAAGUUAGUUCGCGUCAAUGCUUGUCGAUCCUGCACUUCACGUUCAGCUUUACAAGCAAGAUGGAAUAAACGAGUGAUAUUAGUAUACUCCUUAUACUCUAGAAUGAUCUGAAUCUCUCUAUUUAAACCACCCAUAAAAUGUGCAAGCAUAGCUUCAUUCUCCUCAACAAUACCACAUCUAAUCAUGCCAGUUUGUAAUUCCUGAUAAUAUUAUUCUAUAGAAUUUUUCCCUUGUCUCAAAUGCUGUAGUUUUUGAACUAAUCCAUGUUGAUAAUAUGGUAGAACCCAACGAGUACGCAUAGCAGUUUUCAAACCAGAUCAAGUAGCUAGAAUAGGAUAUAAUCUACAAUGUUCAGACCACCAUACACAUGCAAAACUAGUGAAAGCACAAACAGCAGCAGCAACCCGUCUCUCUUCAGGACAUUGUAAACAUGUAAAACGUUGUCCAGUUUCUAACUCCCAUGUAAGAUAUAUAUCAGGAACAUAUCUACCCUCAAAUGGUGGAAUAUUCAAUUUCAGUUUGGGAAUAUGGUCAUUAUCUCGUACCUGAGGUGGUGGUGCAGGCCUACCGUUGCGAAUAUAUACCUGAGGUUGACUUGCUGGCGUGGUGCUGGUGGCUGCACGUAGUUCUGAUUUUGAUCAACCUCAUCCUCAUAAUCGCCCGCAUAAUCGUCAUCCUCCUCGGCACCAGCAGCCGUAGUAGCAGGAGCCAAAGAAGCAUCAACAGUAGGUGCAGCGGUACCAGAAUUUUGACUAGUCUCAAUUGGAACGCGUUGUGCUCGUCCCACUAGAUUUGGAAGGCGACAUUAGAGAUGUUGUUGUUGUUGUUGUAGAGGUGCGGCAGAUGCAGUCGGUGGUGGUUGGGGAAGACGCUUGAGCAAUUCAUUAAACUUGUUAUCCAGCAUUGUCUCGAACGACUUCACCAUGGCAUCUAUCUUCUCCAUGGCCUCUUCAAAUCUGUUUAGCACAUCUCCCACCUGUCCACUCAUCAUUUGCUGAAAUUUAUCAUGCAACUCCUUGUUCGUCAUGUUCUCCCAGUCAAUCUCGUCUACUUGUGAUCCUGCCAUGGUUAGUAGCAAUAGAAACACACAAAAAUAUGAUCCUACAGACUACUAGAAAAUGGUGGUGGUGAGGUGUAACAAAUCCGACAAGCGAAUCUCAAAUUCAACAGUUCUUACCCAUCGGCAUGUGGUGAUCGGCAAUCGUUGUAGUCAAAACUCUCAAUGCUUGGAUAAAGCGAUUACCAGGGAGAUCCAAAUGCACGACGUAGAUGUAUGUGGAGCUGGGAAGGCUUAUAAUAUGGUAGCAAAAAGGGUCAGCAAUAAUCAAUUCAGAGAUGCAAAGUUGAAUAAACGCUCAACGACGGUACUGUGCUGGUCCUAGGCUAGACCGUGCUAGAGACGCGAGCCUAGAACACUAACAAAAUCACGGCGCUGCAUGUAAAAAAGGGAGGAGCACGCUCUGGUUUUUUUGGUCCUUUUUUCGCUUUUUUUGCACUUUUUUUCCUCUUUUUUUUGCUCCGCAACAAUUUUUUUUAGAGAAAGUCUACAAAUGGUCUAAAAACUGCCUAGCCAGAAUAAUCCAGACUUAGUUUUUUUUGAAACUGGAACUAUUUUUUCUACUACAGGUAGCACGAAAGUUCGGGAGUCCUACUCUGUCAUGAAUCGGAGUAUGGCGUGAUCUUGAAAUCCAAAACAGAGUAACGAAAUACUGAACUCGGACUAGGACUGCUGGCGGAGAUGAAUCUGGUGGAACUCAGACUGGUGGCGGAGAUGAAUCUGGUGGAACUCGGACUGGUGGCGGAUAUAUGUUGUAGGUGGUCUCGGAUUGGCUUGAUGGUGGCGGAUAUGUGGCGUGUUAUAUGGACUCGGAUUGGCGGUGAAUAUGUGAUGGUGGUAUAUGGCAACGACGAUGAAGUUGUGCGGUGGUGGUAUAUGGCUGAUGAGGACAUCAAUACCAUUGUUACACCCACAGCCCCUACUGCUAUACAUACUGGACCAAUUACUAGAGCUCGCGCACGCCAACUAAAUUACCAGGUAAUUUUGUUUCUUGGUAAUGAUUCUAAUGUUCAUGAGAAUAUGAUGCUGCCUAAAUUGGAUACAUUUGUUUUGCUUACAAAUGAAGGGCCUAGCAUGGAGAAGGAUGAACAUUGGAGCAAGAACAAGCAUGGAGAUGAUGGCAUGCGCAAGGGGAACAAGAACAGAGUUACAAGUGAUGAUUUCAGGGCUUUGAAGCCACCACAACGAGUGCAGAAGCCUUGGACGAAAUAUACAAGAUGCCACUUCAUAAAUUUCGUCCAGAGGCUAUUCAAGGUGCUCCGUCACCUUUUUAUUGGGUCAGGCCCAUGUAAUUUCGAAAUACAUAAGUAUAGGCUAUUUUUAGAGUCCGUAUGUGUGGGGAAACAAGAGAUAGGGUUGGUUUCGGACCCCUCCACCAAGGGCCACGAAAUUCCCCUCCUAUUCCUCCAUAUAUACAGCCCUUAGGGCACCAUUUAGACUUUGGAUUUUGUUUAGAUUAAAAGUUCGCCAUAGCUGCAAUUUCGCAUACUUCGUUUGUGUUCAACGACCAGACAAAGGCGUCACAGAACCCCAGCUUCAUUAAUAAAGAUUUCCUCUGUUAUUCGCAGUAUCCAGGUUACAAUCUUAGUUUCUUUCUUGUUCUUCGUUUGCUUGCAGGAAAUAGACCUUCGUGGUCAGGUUGAUCGUGCUCCGGCGUGGUCAUAAUCUCUCGAAGUUGGUUUAGCGAUUGCUAAGGUGCGACGUCCUCGCACGUCCGUAGUCGGAUCGUCAAAGUCGACUUCCACCAAAACGAUAGCCACCAUCUCAUCGAAAGGAUGGUACGUCACGUAUGUGUGUUGAUUGUAGAGGCAUUAAUAAUAUUACUAUUCGUUAUCGUCAUCCUAUUCCUAGGCUAGAUGAUAUGCUGGAUGAAUUGAGUGGCUCUACAAUAUUCUCCAAAGUUGAUUUGCAUAGUGGAUACCAUCAAAUUCAUAUGAAAUUGGGAGAUGAAUGGAAAACAACAUUUAAAACUAAGUUUGGAUUAUAUGAGUGGUUAGUCAUGCCUUUUGGGUUAACUAAUGCACCUAGUACUUCCAUGAGAUUAAUGAACGAAGUUUUAGGUGCUUUCAUUGGACGAUUUGUGGUCGUUUACUUUGAUGACAUAUUGAUUUAUAGCAGAUCUUUGGAAGAACAUUUGGAACAUUUACGUGCUGUUUUUAUUGCUCUAUGUGAUGCAUGUUUGUUUGGUAACCUUGGGAAGUGCACCUUUUGCACCGACGGAUUAUCUUUUCUUGGCUAUGUUGUUACUCCAUAGGGAAUUGAAGUUGACAAAGCCAAGAUUGAAGCUAUUGAGAGUUGGCCGCAGCCCAAAACGGUCACACAAGUGAGGAGUUUUCUUGGCCUCGCUGGAUUCUAUAGGCGUUUUGUGAGAGAUUUCAACACCAUUGCUGCGCCUCUCAAUGAGCUUACAAAGAAAGAUGUGCCUUUUCUUUGGGGUACCACAGAUGAAGAAGCCUUCACGGUAUUGAAAGAUAAGUUGACACAUGCUCCUUUACUCCAAGUUCCUGAUUUUAAUAAGACUUUUGAGCUUGAAUGUGAUGCUAGUGGAAUUGGAUUAGAAGGUGUGUUAUUACAAGAUGGCAAACCUGUUGCAUACUUUUCUGAAAAAUUGAGUGGGCCUAGUCUAAAUUAUUCUACUUAUGAUAAAGAAUUAUAUGCUCUUGUUCGGACUUUAGAAACAUAGCAACAUUAUUUAUGUCCCAAAGAAUUUGUUAUACACUCUGAUCAUGAAUCUUUGAAACAUAUUAGUAGUCAGGGUAAACUAAAUCGUAGACAUGCUAAAUGGGUUGAAUUCAUUGAGACUUUCCCUUAUGUCAUUAAACACAAGAAGGGAAAAGAAAAUGUUAUUGCUGAUGCAUUGUCUCAUCGCUAUACUAUGCUUUCACGACUUCACUUCAAAAUAUUUGGUUUGGAGACCAUCAAAGAUCAAUAUGUGCAUGAUGCUGAUUUUAAAGACGUAAUGCAGAAUUGUAAAGAAGGAAGAAUGUGGAACAAGUUCGUCGUUAAUGAUGGAUUUGUGUUCCGUGCUAAUAAGCUAUGCAUUCCAGCUAGCUCCAUUCGGCUUUUGUUGUUGCAAGAGGCGCAUGGAGGAGGACUAAUGGGACACUUUGGCAUGAAGAAGACGGAGGACGUACUUGCUGCACAUUUCUUUUGGCCAAAGUGAGACGUGAUGUUGAGCGUUUUAUUGCUCGCUGCACUACAUGUCAAAAAGCUAAGUCACGACUCAGUCCUCAUGGUUUAUAUAUGCCUUCGCAUGUACCUAGUGUUCCUUGGGAGGAUAUAUCUAUGGACUUUGUUUUAGGUUUACCUCGAACAAAGAAGGGGAGGGAUAGCAUAUUUGUUGUCAUGGAUAGAUUCUUGAAAAUGGCACACUUUAUACCAUGUCAUAAAAGCGAUGAUGUUGUUAAUUUUGCUGAUUUAUUCUUUCGUGAAAUUAUUCGCUUGCAUGGUGUGCCAAAUACUAUUGUUUCAGAUCGUGAUACUAAAUUUCUUAGCCACUUUUGGAGAUGUUUAUGGCCUAAGUUGGGGACUAAACUGCUUUUUAGUACUACUUGUCACCCCCAAACUGAAGUAGUCAAUAGAAUGUUGUCUACUAUGCUUAGGGCUGUUUUGAAGAAUAAUAAGAAAAUUGGGGAGGAAUGCUUGCCUCAUAUUGAAUUUUCUUAUAAUCAUUCAUUGCAUUCUACUACUAAGAUGUGCCCUUUUCAAGUUGUGUAUGGUUUCCUACCUUGUGCACCUAUUGAUUUGUUGCCUCUUCCAUCUUCGGAGAAGGUUAAUUUUGAUGCUAAACAAUGUGCUGAAUUGAUUUUAAAAAUGCAUGAGUUAACUAAGGAAAACAUUGAGCGUAUGAAUGCUAAAUAUAAACUUGUUGGAGAUAAGGGUAGAAAACAUGUUGUGUUUGCACCUGGAGAUCUUGUUUGGUUACAUUUGCGUAAGGAUAGAUUUCCUGAUUUGCGCAAAUCAAAGCUAAUGCCACGUGCUGAUGGUUCCUUUAAGGUGUUAGAGAAAAUAAAUGAUAAUGCAUAUAAACUUGAGAUAUCUGCAGAUUUUGGGGUUAGUCCCACUUUUAACAUUGCAGAUUUGAAACCUUAUUUGGGUGAGGAAGAUGAACUUCCGUCGAGGGCAACUUCAUUUUAAGAAGGGGAGGAUGAUGAGGACAUCAAUACCAUUGGUACAACCACAGCCCCUGCUGCUAUACAUACUGGACCAAUUACUAGAGCUCGCGCACGCCAACUAUAUUACCAGGGACUUUCGUUUCUUGGUAAUGAUUCUAACGUUCAUGAGAAUAUGAUGUUGCCUAAAUUGGAUACAUUUGUUUUGCUUACAAAUGAAGGGCCUAGCUUGGAGAAGGAUGAACAUUGGAGCAAGAACAAGCAUGGAGAUGAUGGCAUGCGCAAGGGGAACAAGAAUGGAGUUACAAGUGAUGAUGUCAGGGCUUUGAAGCCACCAUAACGAGUGCAUGAAGCCUUGGAGGAAAUAUGCAAGAUGCCACUUAAAUUUUGUCCAGAGGCUAUUCUAGGUGCCGCGUCACCUUUUUAUUGGGCCAGGCCCAUGUAAUUUCGAAAUACAUAAGUAUAGGCUAUUUUUAGAGUCCGUAUGUGUGGGGAAACAAGAGAUAGAGUUGGUUUCGGACCCCUCCACCAAGGGCCACGAAAUUCCCCCCUCUUCGUCCAUAUAUACAGCCCUUAGGGCACCGUUUAGACUUUGGGUUUUGUUUAGAUUAAAAGUUCGCCAUAGCUGCAACUUAGCGUACUUCAUUUGUGUUCAACGACCAGACAAAGGCGUCACAGAACCCCACCUUGAUCAAUAAAGCUUUCCUCUUAUAUUCGCAAUAUCUAGAUUGCAAUCUUAGUUUCUUGCUUGUUCUUCGUUUGCCUACAGGAAACAGACCUUCGUGGUCAGGUUGAUCAUGCUCGGGCGUGGUUAAUAACCUCUCGGAGUUGGUUUAGCGAAUGCUAAGGCGCGACGUCCUCGUACGUUCGUAGUCGGAUCGUCAAAGUCGACUUCCACCAAAACGAUAGCCACCAUCUCAUCGAAAGAUGGGACACUUUUGCCUCUGUCAUAUUGUUUCCAAAUAUAUAUUAACCGAUGCUAGGAAUGCCCUUUUCUUCUUGGCUUUCACGUGCAUGAGUUACAACAGGCCAUCUGGUGAAAACAAGGAGAAUAAGGCAUAUAGCCGCAUGAUUUUCUUUAAUUUACGGCCAAAUGAGAUUGCCCGAAUCAUAGAGCAUCUGUAGAAAGCUAUGUUUUCCCUACCAGGGGUGCUAAUGUCUAUGAGCAACAUAAUCUCUCGAGUUUCCUUCGAAAGGAAGUGCCAAUGGGUUCAGAAACUUGUCCGAAAAAUAGCGGCGAAUGAUGUUCUUUGACUUUCAGGGCCAAAAAGUCUUGCUUAAGGUAUUUGAGGGUACUCCUGGCUGCUUGGCGCAAGCCGGGAGUAUUUUCUGGAUUUGCACGCUCGCCGCGAACAGUUUGAGUACUUGUGGGCCUGACACUAACUCCGAAUGACAAGGUUAUGACACUAACUCCCAUGACGCUUUUUGCCUGACUGCCCCAAAAUUUCUUGUCCUCUAUAGUGGAAUUCCACAUAUGUAUUGAUUGAUGCCAGCAAUGCCCUUCUGUUCUUGGCUUUCACGCGCAUGAAUUACAGCAUGCUAUCCGGCGAAAACAAGGAGAAUAAGGAAUAUAGCCGCUGGAUUUUCUUCAAUUUACGGCCAAAUGAGAUUGCCCGGAUCAUAGAGUAUAUGUAUAAAGCUAUGUUUUUCCUACCCGGGGGGCUAAUGUCUAUGAGCAACAUAAUCUCUCGAAUUUCCUUCAAAAGGAAGUGCCAAUGGGUUUAGAAACUUGUCCGAAAAACAGCGGCGAAUGAUGUUAUUUGACUUUCAGGGCCAAUAAGUCCUGCUUAAGGCCAUGUUUGAGGGUAAUCCUGGCCUCCUGGCGCAAAUAGGGAGUAUUUUCUGGAUUCACACGCUCGCCAUGAGUAGUUUGAGUACUUGUGGAUCCGACACGGACUCCGAAUGACAAAGUUAUGACCAUUUCAGUGAACAUCGGUCCUUUCUAUGGCAGUCCUUGAAAGUACUUCAUUUUCCCGUGACGCUUUUUGCCUGACCGCACCGAAAUUUCUUAUCCUCUAUAGUGGAGAUAUUGUUUCCACAUACCGAUGCUAAGAAUGCCCUUUUGUUCUUGGCUUUCACGCGCAUGAGUUAUAGCAUGCCAUCCGGUGAAAACAAGGAGAACAAGGCAUAUAGCCGCAGGAUUUUCUUCAAUUUACGGCCAAAUGAAAUUGCCCGAAUCAUAUAGCAUCUGCAGAAAGCUAUGUUUGUCCCUACCAGCGGCGCAAAUGUCUAUGAGCAACAUAAUCUCUAGAAUUUCCUUCAAAAGGAAGUGCCAAUGGGUUCAGAAACAUGUCCGAGAAACCGCGGCGAAUGAUGUUCUUUGGCUUUCAGGGCCAAAAAGUCCUGCUUAAAGCCAAAUUUGAGGGUACUUCGGGCCUCCAGGCGCAAGUCGGGAGUAUUUUCUGGAUUCGCACGCUCACUGCGAGUAGUCUGAGUACUUGUGGGCCCAACACGGACCCUGAAUGACAAAGCUAUGACCGUUUUAGUGAACAUCGGUCCAUUCUAUGGUAGUCCUUAAAAGUACUUCAUUUCCCCGUAAAGCUUUUUACCUAACCGCCCCAAAAUUUCUUAUCCCCUAUAGUGGAGAUAUUGUUUCCACAUAUAUAUCGACCGAUGCCAGGAAUGCACUUUUGUUCUUGGCUUUCACGCGCAUGAGUUACAACAUACCAUCCGGUGAGAACAAGGAGAAUAAAGCAUAUAGCUGCAUGAUUUUCUUCAAUUUACGGCCAAAUGAGAUUGCCCAAAUCAUAGAGCAUCUGCAGAAAGCUACGUUUGUCCCUACCAGGGGUGGUAAUGUCUAUGAGCAACAUAAUCUCUCGAAUUUCCUUCAAAAGGAAGUGCCAAUGGGUUCAGAAACUUGUCCGAAAAACAGUGGCGAAUGACGUUCUUUGACUUUCAGGGCCAAAAAGUCUUGCUUAAGGCCGAAUUUGAGGGUACUUCGGGCCUCCAGGCGCAAGCCGGGUGUAUUUUCUGGAUUCGCACGCUCGCCGCAAGUAGUUUGAGUACUUGUGGGCCUGACACGGAUUCCAAAUGACAAAGUUAUGACCGUUUUAGUGAACAUCGGUCCAUUCUGUGGCAGUCCUUGAAAGUUCUUCAUUUUCCCGUGACGCUUUUCGCCUGACCGCCCCGAAAUUUCUUAUCCUCUAUUGUGGAGAUAUUGUUUCCACAUAUAUAUUUACCGAUGCCAGGAAUGCCCUUUUGUUCUUGGCUUUCAUGCACAUGAAUUACAUCUUGCCAUCCGGCAAAAACAAGGAGAAUAAGGCAUAUAGCCGCUGGAUUUUCUUCAAUUUACGGUAAAAUGAGAUUUCCUGGAUCAUAGAGUAUCUAUAGAAAGGUACGUUUGUCCCUACCAGGGGGGCUAAUGUCCAUGAGCAACAUAGUCUCUCGAAUUUCCUUCAAAAGGAAGUGCCAAUGGGUUCAGGAACUUGUCCAAAAAACAACGGCGAAGGAUGUUAUUUGACUUUAGGGCCAAAAAGUCCCGCUUAAGGCCAACUUUGAGGGUACUCCGGGCCUCCUGGCGCAAGCAGGGUGUAUUUUCUAGAUUCGCACGCUCGCCGCAAGCAGUUUGAGUACUUGUGAGUCCGGCACCGACUCCGAAUGACAAAGUUAUGACCGUUUUAGUGAACAUCAGUCCAUUCUAUGGCAGUCCUUGAAAGUACACCAUUUUCCCAUGAUGCUUUUUGCCUGACCGCCCCAAAAUUUCUUGUCCUAUAUAGUGGAGAUAUUGUUUCCAAAUAUAUAUUGGUCGAUGCCCGCAAUGCCCUUUUGUUCUUGGCUUUCACGCGCUUGAAUUAUAGCAUGCUAUCCGGCGAAAACAAGGAGAAUAAGGAAUAUAGCCGCUGGAUUUUCUUCAAUUUACGGCCAAAUGAGAUUGCCCGGAUCAUAGAGUAUCUGUAGAAAGCUACGUUUUUUCCUACCAGGGGGGCUAAUGUCUAUGAGCAACAUAAUCUCUCAAAUUUCCUUCAAAAGGAAGUGCCAAUGGGUUUAGAAACUUGUCCAAAAAAUAACGGCGAAUGAUAUUCUUUGACUAUCAGGGCCAAAAAGUCCUGCGUAAGGAAGAAUUUGAGGGUAGUCCUGGGCUCCUGGCGCAAGCCAGGAGUAUUAUCUGGAUUCGCAUGCUCGCCGCGAACAGUUUGAGUACUUGUGGGCCCGACACUAACUCUGAAUGACAAAGUUAUGACCGUUUUAGUGAACAUCGGUCCAUUCUAUGGCAGUCCUUGAAAGUACAUCGUUUUCCCAUGACGCUUUUUUCCUGACCGCCCCAAAAUUUCUUGUCCUCUAUAGUGGAAAUAUUGUUUCCACAUAUAUAUUGAUCGAUGCUAGCAAUGCCCUUUUGUUCUUGGCUUUCACGCGCAUGAAUUACAUCAUGCUAUCCGGCGAAAACAAGGAGAAUAAGGAAUAUAGCCGCUGGAUUUUCUUCAAUUUACGGCCAAAUGAGAUUGCCCAGAUCAUAGAGUAUCUGUAGAAAGCUAUGUUUUUCCCUACCAGGGGGGCUAAUGUCUAUUAGCAACAUAAUCUAUCGAACUUCCUUCAAAAGGAAGUGCCAAUGGGUUUACAAACUUGUCCGAAAAACAGCGGCGAAUGAUGUUCUUUGACUUUCAGGGCCAAAAAGUCCUGCUUAAGGCCGAGUUUGAGGGUACUCCUGGCCUCAUGGCGCAAGCAGGGAGUAUUUUCUGGAUUCACUCGCUCGCCAUGAGUAGUUUGAGUACUUGUGGAUCUGACACGGACUCCGAAUGACAAAGUUAUGACUGUUUCAGUGAACAUUGGUCCAUACAAAGGCGUCACAGAACCCCACCUUGAUCAAUGAAGCUUUCCUCUUAUAUUCGCAAUAUCCAGAUUGCAAUCUUAGUUUCUUGCUUGUUCUUUGUUUGCCUGCAGGAAACAGACCUUCGUGGUCAGGUUGAUCGUGCUCCGGCGUGGUCAAUAACCUCUCGGAGUUGGUUUAGCGAUUGCUAAGGCGCGACGUGCUCGCACGUUCGUAGUCGGAUCGUCAAAGUCGACUUCCUCCAAAACGAUAGCCACCAUCUCAUUGAAAGACGGGACACCUUUGCCUCUAUCAUAACCAUUAGAAGCACAAAUGCAUGAAUAAUAUGAUGCAACAAUGGCUAUAUUCAUGGCACUAGGUAUAUGGUGCAAAGAAGUAAGAGAAGCAUGCUUCACAAGAAAUAUGUCAAAAUCUCCAAAUAUACGCGAGAAUGCUAUGGGGGCAAUCUCAUUAGGAAGACUAAAAGCAUUGUUGCACUCAAUACAUGGCAAAUCAUCUAGCAUGAGAGAAGCAACAUAUGAUAUAUAUGACAAGAAGCAAUAACAAUCAUGUGCAAAGCAUAGAAAUGGUUGUCAUCAACCGCAUGAAAUGAGCAAGUAUGAAUCAUGGGUGAUGCAACAUGAACAAGCAUAUAGAUCAAAUCGUGCAAACUAGUGGAGCGAAGAUGCAACACACUAGAGUAAAUCAUAGCAAUCAUGUCAUGUGAGUAGACACUAGGCAUAGACAAUGCACAUGACAUCUCGCAAGCACGAGCACAAAGCAAGAUGAAAGUAUCAUUAUAGGAAUGGGACAUAAAGCAAACAUGUCAAUAGGAAGAGAUAUGUCCACCAAGCUUGCAAAUACACAUAAAAGUAUGAGAAUCAGUCAUCAUGUGUAAAGCAAAGCAUGGGUCACAAAUGCAUGGCAAAGGCAUAGGAAUGGGUAUAUCAUGCAAAGUGAAGAUGGCAAUAUGGGCAAAGGAUAUAUAAUGGACAAUAAGCCAUAACCAUGUGAGGGACAUGUAGAAGAAAUGCGUGAAGUUUUUGCGCCAUGGGGAGGGUGGUAAGGAUAAUCAACGGUAUCCCAAGUCAUCGUUGCUCUCUAGAGCUCGUCAACUCAUGGGAUUGUGAGGUUGAUAAGUAAGCAUGGGUACCUACACAAAGGAGACACAAACCAAAGAAAUUGUGUGCAUGGUAAAUGUACACAUCAUCCCUCAUGAUGUGUAUGUGCACGUGUGAGUUAGCACAAGAUAAGCAUCGCUCAAAGAAAUUUGAUGCAUGGUAUAAGAAUAUGUCAUCCAUCAUGAAAGAAUAGUUAUUGUGUAUGACACGACGGGGACACAAUUGAGCAUACAAAUAUAUGGCACAUCAAUAUCAUUUUCAUUCAUGGGGAGCAUAUUGUGCCCACAAUUAUUGGGAUCAUGAAAAGGAUAGGAUGGAUCAAAAUCUCCUAACAUGUAUGAGGAAACUAUGGGUGUCUCCUCAUGAACAACAUUGGAAACAUCAUAUGGAGAAAAUGGACAACAUCCAAAACAAUGCAUAUCCGAAGCUAGGUAGGGAUGGCAUGGCAUAUGAGAUAAAUGAUGCAAAGGGAGCAUAUUAAUAUCAUCGCAAGAAAAACAAAUGCCAAUAACCAUGGGCUUGUCAUCUAUGCCAUAUGUGCAAAUUGGGUUUAUUUUAAUGGCAUAUGCAUAGUCACUAUGAAGAGAUUGCAAAUAAGACAUAUGGUUGAUCUCAUGCAUAGCAUAUGACAAGUCAAGCGGAUUAUCAAACAUGAUGUGACCAAGGGAAUUGUCACAAGAAAGCCUAUGUAAGAUGGGAUCACAACUAAUUGGCUCCACAUGAGAAUCAUCAUACUCAUCAUAAAUGGGCAAGAAAUAAUCACAUGAGAAAGUCACACUAGCAUGAAUCAUGGAAAUAGGUGGAUCAUCAUCAUGCAAGCAAGCAAUGUCAAGAAUGUCCACUAGUGGGACUAGCACAUCACCUUCUCCUUUGUUACCUUUGUUAUUCCACUCAUGUGGUGUAGAUGAGGUGGAAAAGACCAAAUGGUAGUCAUCUUCAUCUUGAUGGAACCAUGUGGGGGGUGCAUCGUAUUCCACCAUGGCCAUCGUCUUGUCCAAAGGGAGGACGAAGUCAUUGAGGAUCGGGGCAUCAUCAUCAAUGGGACCUAUCACCAAAUGAGAAGACACAAUAGAGGUAGAGGUCAAGUAGUUAGUGUUGAAAUUGGCCUCACAAGACCUAUGAACUAGCACUCUCUCUCUAUGUGGUGGUUCACUCACUCCCUCGAAGUAGGUGCACUCAAUCUCACGUAUGGUGGAGUCACUUAUCUCACUCAAGUGGUGGGGGUUGUGGCUCUCCUCACAUGGGAAUUGGGGCAACUCAUCAUAUGUAGGGCUAGUGGUGAACUCGCUCUCACUCUCAAUAUGGUGGCACAAGUCACUCAAGUUAUCAUACGUCGCCAUGGUCGAAGGGAAAAUCCCAUGCUCAACCAUGGCGGCGUCGUCGCCGUGGAUGAAGGCCGAAGAUGGCACAUCAUCACUCUCCUCCAAGACCGAAGGGAAAAAUCCCAUGUUCGAUCAUCUCGUCAUUGUCGCCGUGGAUGAAGGCCGAAGAUGGCACAUCAUCACUCUCGCCUCCAAAGAUGGAAGCAUCAUCCUUGCAUGCCACCUUGUCGCUCGCCUCCAAAUCUUGGUCCUUGAGGGUCUCCGUAGUCGAACUCGUCACCGCACCGUCUUGAAAAAGAGUUGACGUAGACUCGGCAUCAUCAAUGCCACAAAGAGGGAUGGCGGUGAAGUCGAACUUGGGAGCAUCGUCUUGGAGCUCGUCGGGCUUGGACAUCGUGGUGGUACUAGCCUCAUGCUCAUUGUAGAGCUUGGUAGCUGCGAAGUGUGCUUGGGGUGGAGACGCCUUGGCCUUCAUGAGUUCUUGUUCCGCCUUGAGAGCACCAAUUUAGUAGUCGUUAAGGGACUUGUAGUUCUUGAGGAAGAUAGUCUUGGAGAUGUCGUUGUUCAAUCCCAUCAUGAAGUGGAACUUCAUCGAAAUGGGUUCAUCCACGCCGGCUCAUCGCAAGGCAAUCUUCAUAUCCUUGAAGUACUUGUUGAUGGACUUGGAUCCUUGGGUGGUGUUCUCCAAUUGGCGUCGAAGUUGUUCCGUGUAGGUUGGAGGCACGAACUCUCGCCGCAAAGCUCUCUUCAUCUUGGGCCAACUCAUCUCGUAGCUCUCCGAAGGUGUGUGAAGCUACCAUGUCGAGGCAUAGUCAUUGAAGUUUCUUGUGGCGCACUUCACUUGAUCUCCGGGACGAACUUGAUGUAGCUUGAGGUAUUCGUCCAUCAAGCGCUCCCACUCAAGAUACUCCUCGAGUUCUUGAGUCCCAUAGAAAGGAAUCGCGUGGUCGAUGUCGAGGUCGUAGUAGGUCAUGGAAGUCGCGGACUUGAGCUUGGGGAGCUUCUCUUGAGCGUAGCCUUGAGGUUCUUGUUGGCGAAGAUGUCGUAUGUCCGUAGGCGAAGAUGCCUUAAAGUCGCUUGGUGAAGAUGCCAAGGGAGAUUGUGAAGUCGUUUAGAGGUUGUUGGUGUUGAGAUCUUGACCUUCACGUUCUUGUUGGUGAUGGUGUCGAUGCCGAUGUGAUCUUGCGGGAGAUGGUAGCUCGGAAGUAUGUGCUCUUGAGCAUCUUCUCGAAGAUGAGGAAGAUCGCUUGUAGGACUUGAUGAGGGCUUUGAUAUCCUCCAUUUAAGGUUGCAUCUUGGCAUCGGAGUUGUUUUUCGUGGCAUCGAAUGUGUCGUUGUUGUUGUAGACCGAAGGUGAAAUGCCUUGACUAUCCAUCACAAGACUCGAGCAAAGGUGAGUAGGAAAUGAGAUAAACAAUACCAAAGUUACUGUUUCCCGAAGUUGAGGAUGUAUCCCAUUUCACUCAAUGUGAAAUGAAAGAAUAGUGGAAUUGGUACCGGACUUGUUCACUCACACCUAUCAAGUAAAGCUUACGAUGGAGCUAGGUGAGGAUAGUGGCACAAAAAUUUAAUGCAAAAUGUUAGUAAGAGUCAAUAAUGUUGAAAGAGAUUCACAAAUUCGCAAGCGAAAUAAGUAGACCAAUAGCAAUAUGUGGCACACGGAAACACACACAUGGAUAGAUAAAUGGGGUCGUGCAACCAAGGAAUGAGCACAAAAUGUGGAAUCCACGGAAAACGCUCGUGUUGCACAACUCAAGAGAGACACUAGCACGAUUGCUCAAUAGGCGGAUACGACACUUGUGCACAACCUAUAAGGUGCAAAAUGGAUAAAAUUUCUAUCCCAAGUAUGCUAUGUAUGUAUGGUUCUCGGUGUUUCCCGCAAGAUGAUCCAAGAUGAUCGGAUAUGACAAUCUUAUAUGCAAUGUGGUAUGAUGCUAUGGCACUUGCUUACAAGCUUCUUUGAUCUCUCCUUUUCUUUGCUUAAAAGCUUAUUCUUUCUUUUUUUGUACGGACACUUUUGCACAAUGCACAAACCAAGAUAGCAAUUCUAUAUAUGCGGGAACAAACUUGUGACACAAGAGAUGAUAUGAUGAUACCAAUACGAUAUGGUAUGUAUGCAAUGGAAGGUACGAAUCACUAAUGUGCACAAGUAACGUUGCCGGCAAUACUCAAAUGGCUAGUCUCGAUAAGCAAGUAACGCAAAAUGGGCUAGGGGUUAUCAAUGCAAUUACAAGGGGGAUAUACAAUGGUAUCGUCGAGGUUACCGUCCUUGGUGAUGAUGAUAGGCGGUGUUGCCGAUGUCGACCCGUUCCUAGUUAGCCGAAACACCCUAGGAAAUGGAAGAACCGCAAACUCAAAAUCGCCAAAGACAAAUGUCAAAUGGUGGUAGCGGAAAGCGAUAGUGGUUUGCACUCGGCAAUGCGGAAGUGGGAUGAUGGGAUGUACACGUGUCGAAGUUGAAGUUUCCAUCCCUAAGUAGCUGAAACACCUUAGGAGACACAAUCCACAACUCAAACAAGCUCAAACAACAAUUGGGUUAAGUUGAGGUGGCGGAAGUCGGUGGUGGUGUAGCAGACGAUGUGGUGGAAGCCCUAGGCAAAGAUGCCAAAAUUCACAAAAUAUGAUGGAGUCAAAUGAUGGUGGUAGUAUUUUUGUGGCAUAGGGGAUGUCAGUAGCUUCAAAACGAGCUAGAGAACGUCAAAAAAGGACUCCGGAUGAAUUAGUUAUGGCCAAAACAAAAAUUUGUCCGUGUCAGUUUCAAGGUUAGCCGGACAUCCGGGAGGAGGUCCGGAUGAUCCGGGCUUGGUCCGGAUGAUCCGGGAGUACUUUCGGAUGAUCCGGGUUCGGCAAGGUCAGUUCUAUUUUUUUGGCACGUGGGUUAUCCGGACGUCCGGGAGAGGGCCCAGCUGAUCCAGGAGGUAUCCGGAUGAUCCGGGAGAAGGUCCGGAUGAUCCAGGCAGGUCAAACUGCUCGGGAUUUCCUCUCAAGGACGAAUUUUUGCACGGAAUUUGGGGAUUUUGGGGUGAAAAUUGACGAGAUUUUAUGGAUGCAAGGUGGGGAAACUUGGGGAGAUGCUAGAUCCACUUGAAACCAAGCAAAUCCAUGGAUCAAAAUCAACAAAACAUCAUCAAACUAACAAAUCACAAAAAAAUUGAUGCUAUUUUUGGUGAGGAUUUUCGGAUUUAGGAUGAAAUCAACAAAAUCAAGCUAGAAAACAUGCGGUAGGGGCUCCAAAAACGUGAUCAACGUGGCUCACGAUACCAAGAUGAUGUAGGGUAGAACCCUAGAGGCCGACCUUUCAUGAUUGGAGCGAAUCCCUCCGAAGAACACGAAGAACACUGGGAAGAACGGAGAGAAAUCACAAGGGGAAACACUCAAGAACAAGUGCAAUCACACAUCCACUAGACAAUCAAACACACAAGAUCCAUAAGGGUACAUGAAUAACAAAAGGAAAAGAUACAAGGCAGAGUUCAUCUCCAAGAGGAGGUCUUGAUGGUAUCCUAGACGGAUCUUCCCGUGAGGGGGUCUUGAUGAUAUCCCGUAGGAUCUUCUCACAUGGAGGUCUUGAACUUCAUGGGAGUGGUCUCUCUCUCAAGAGGAGGAGGUAGGAGCAAAGCUCACCUAAGAAUGAGCUAUCAUCUUUGCUUCCCCUAGAAAGGAGGUGGAGGAGGUCUAUUUAGAGCCCAAGGGGCGAAGGGGUAAGUGAGGGGCGAAUGGGUACACCGGCCUCGGCCCAAGUCAUGCGUGCAGGCAAGGCGAGAUGAUCCGGAUGGGGUCCCAGAUGAUCCGGACGGAGUCCCGGAUGAUCCGGCUUCAGUGGAAGCCUUCUGGUGUCUUUGCCGCACUUAUCCGGACGAUCCGGGGGAAGGUCCGGAUGAUCCGGCUGAGACCGGAUGAUCUGGAUGGUAGUCCGGAUGUCCGGCCUGGCUCCAGCAGCCGCUCUGUUGUCUUCUUCUCCUUUCUUCCGUCUUCUCUUCCACACUUCCCUCCCGGACGGUGUAGUCAUUCCUUGGCGCUUGCACUCUUCCUUGACAUCCGUGAAGCUCCGACAAUACCUAUGCAUGCACACGGGAGAAGUGUCAAGUAGUACACCAUCCUCAAGGGGUCAAGUGAGCACGUGUAAAGGAGAUGAUUCACCUUUGUUUAUGCGAAGUAGAUGUCGCACGUGUCACUUGCCAAACGGACUCUUGCCAUGGUGAUGUCCGUAGGAUGCUCCGCAUCACUUGGAGUACUUAGAUUGCACAAUGCCUUCAUCUACGUCAAACUACAAGUCCGUCCACGACAACCGUUUCCAUGGUGAUGAGGAUCACGAUCCGAGGCCGGAUCUUUCCCAAGGGGGGGGGGGGGAGAUGAUGCGGAGCAUCCCACGUUCAUCCCCAUGUACACUUCGACUACUCUCCAAGCCCCAAGAGGACAUAUGACGAGACCUCAAACAUACGCCAUUGGACACAAGGUUUUGGACCCCUUCCCCAAGGGCCAUGAAAUUCCCCCCUCUUUCCUCCAUAUAUACAACCCUUAGGGCGUCGUUUAGACUUUGGGUUUUGUUUAGAUUAAAGUUCGCAAUAGCUGCAACUUCGUGUACUUCGUUUGUGUUCAACGACCAGACAAAGGCUUCACAGAACCCCACCUUCAUUAAUAAAGCUUUCCUCUUAUAUUCGCAAUAUCCAGAUUGCAAACUCAGUUUCCUGCUUGUUCUUCGUUUGCUCGCAGGAAAACAGACCCUCGUGGUUAGGUUGAUCGUGCUCCGGCGUGGUCAAUAACCCCUUGGAAGUUGGUUUAUAGAUUGUUAAGGCACGACGUCUCGCACAUUCGUAGUCGGAUCGUCAAGGUCGACUCCCACAGAAAACGAUAGCCACCAUCUCAUCGAAAGACGGGAUACCUUUGCCUCUAUCAUCAUGUGUUGAGUUACCUGUUGAAUUGAGCACGCCACCUAUAUUAGAGAAUCAUGUUACGUUCAUGAAUGCAUCAUGUGAUCAAACAACUGAAAUACCAACAAUUUUUAGUGCGCCCAUUGAAUUAACUGUUGAUGUCAUAGUACCAUGUGAAUCAAGAAAUAAAUCAGAUUUGGAUCAAAUACAUUUUAAAAUAAUUGUGUCAAUGUUUAAUCAUUUUGAUAUGACCUCUAAUCUUGGUGAUCAUUCUGUCUCAAACGACUUAUCAUGUUUUCUUAUUUAAGCAUGUUGUAGCAUGUAAAUUUAAUGCACGUAAUGUUUAUUCACCAAUGUUGGGAUGGUUUAAUGAUGAAUAUUGUCAAUCUUUUGAUAUGAAUAAGAGAGCUUCACUUAUAUGUACAAAGUGAGUUGUAAGAUUUUCAUGACUUCUACUUAUGAUAAUAUUUUGGCUUUAUAUUUUAUGACCUAUGAAAGUUACUCAUGUAUACAUGUGUCAUAUGUGCAAAAAUCAAGGGAAGUAAGAAUGGAUGACAUAUACAUAUACAACAUGUACACCUUGUCUCUUUUGUUAGCCACAUUUCAGAUUAAGCAACGCCGAGGACGGCUUUGUUUUCAAGAAGGGGAGGAUGAUGAGGACAUGAAUACCUUGGAUACGACCAAAAAUAUUGCAUACAUGCGUAUUUGUCAGGUGAUUUCUAGUGCAAACUAUUCAAUAAUUGAUUUAUGUUAUCAAGAACAAAAAUACUUCACACACUUUUGUAUUUUGUCUAAUUGCAGGUGUAUGGGACAUUUGUACAAUCCACAUAUGAAGAUAAGGGAAAAGGAGAAGUUUAGGUUAUGUUCAAAAAGUUCUCUCACGUCACUUUUGGCCAAGAGAAUAUAGAGUCCAAGUCUCUCACGUUCUGGAUUCAGAUUCGGACUGCACAGACAUACCUGACUCAAAACACCAACAACUUUUUCAUACGGACUCCGAAUUGGGUGAUUCUUUUUUUGUUGGAAAGUAAACUUCGUGCUCUUUCCAAACCAAUUGGAUUCACCUUCAAACUUCUCCAGAGCAUUGAGAUAUCACGAAACAAUCUGACAUUGCAGCAGAAUCUGAGUCAAACAACAAGUCCAAAGGUGUUGCAUCACUUCCACUUGGGCCCAUGAGCCUUAUACGACCUAGGAUUAGUUUUAGGGUGCCUUGGGACGUCCUUCCACCUCCUUGGCUGCCACCCCUUGCUCCUAUAUAAGUAGAUCCAUCUAGUAGCUUUUUCUUCGGUAUUUGUUUAGUUAAAAGUUAGCCAUUGCAACUUCGUGUACUAAAACGGUCAUAACUUUGUCAUUCGGAGUCCUUCGGGCCCACAAGUAAUCAAACUGCUCGCGGCGAGCGUGCGAAUCCAGAAAUUACUCCCGGCUUGUGCCUGGAGGCCCGAAGUACUCUCAAAUUCGGCCUCAAGCAGGACUUUUUGGCCUUGAAAGUCAAAGAACAUCAUUCGUCGCGGUUUUUCGGACAAGUUUCUGAACCCAUUGGCACUUCCUUUUGAAGGAAAUUCGAGAGGUUAUGUUGCUCAUAGACAUUAGCGCCCCUGGUAGGGACGAACGUAGCUUUUUGUAGAUGCUCUAUGAUUUGGGCAAUCUCGUUUGGCCGUAAAUUGAAGAAAAUCCUGCGGCUAUAUGCCUUAUUCUCCUUAUUAUCACUGGAUGGCAUGUCGUAACUCAUGCGUGUGAAAGCCAAGAACAAAAGGGCAUUCCUGGGAUCGGUCAAUAUAUAUGUGCAAACAAUAUCUCCACUAUAGAGGAUAAGAAAUUUUGGGGCGGUUAGGCAAAAAGCUUCACGGGAAAAUGAAGUACUUUCAACGACUGCCAUAGAAUGGACCGAUGUUCACGAAAACGGUCAUAGCUUUGUCAUUCAGGGUCCGUGUCGGGCCCACAAGUACUCAAACUGCUCGCGACGAGCGUGCGAAUCAAGAAAAUACUCCCAGCUUGCGCCUGGAGGCCUGAAGUACCCUCAAAUUCGGCCUUAAGCAGGACUUUUUGGCCCUGAAAGUCAAAGAACAUCAUUCAUCGCGGUUUUUCGGACAAGUUUCUGAACCCAUUGGCACUUCCUUUUGAAGGAAAUUCGAGAUGUUAUGUUGCUCAUAGACAUUAGCACCCCUUGUAGGGACAAACGUAGAUUUCUACAGAUGCUAUAUGAUUUGGGUAAUUUCAUUUGGCCGUAAAUGGAAGAAAAUCCUGCGGCUAUAUGCCUUAUUCUCCUUGUUUUCACCGGAUGGCAUGCUGUAACUCAUGCGUGUGAAAGCCAAGAACAAAAGGGCAUUCCUGGCAUUCGUCAAUAUAUAUGUGGAAACAAUAUCUCCACUAUAGAGGAUAAGAAAUUUCGAGGCGGUCAGGCAAAAAGCGUCACGCGAAAAUGAAGUACUUUCAAAGACAUCCAUAGAAUGGACUGAUGUUCACUAAAACGGUCAUAACUUUGUCAUUCGGAGUCCUUCGGGCCCACAAGUAAUCAAAUUGCUCGCGGCGAGCGUGCGAAUCCAGAAAUUACUCCCAGCUUGUGCCUGGAGGCCCGAAGUACCCUCAAAUUCGGCCUUAAGAAGGACUUUUUGGCCCUGAAAGUCAAAGAACAUCAUUGGCCGCUGUUUUCGGACAAGUUUUUGAACCCAUUGGCACUUCCUUUUGAAGGAAAUUCGAGAGAUUAUGUUUCUCAUAGACAUUAGCGCCCCUGGUAGGGAUAAACGUACCUUUCUGCAGAUGCUCUAUGAUUCGAGCAAUCUCCUUUGGCCGUAAAUUGAAGAAAAUCCUGCGGCUAUAUGCCUUAUUCUCCUUAUUAUUACCGGAUGGCAUGUCAUAACUCAUGCGUGUGAAAGCCAAGAACAAAAGGGCAUUCCUAGCAUCGGUCAAUAUAUAUGUGGAAAUAAUAUCUCCACUAUAGAGGACAAGAAAUUUCGGGGCGGUCAGGCAAAAAGCGUCACGGGAAAAUAGAGUACUUUUAAGGACUGCCAUAGAAUGGACCGAUGUUCACUAAAACGGUCAUAACUUUGUCAUUCGGAGUCUGUGUCGGACCCACAAGUACUCAAACUGCUCACGGCGAGUGUGCGGAUCUAUAAAAUACUCUCUACUUGCGUUAGGAGACCAGGCGUACCCUCAAAUUCGGCCUUAAGCAGGAAUUUUUGGCCCUGAAAGUCAAAGAACAUCAUUCGCCGCUGUUUUUCAGACAAGUUUCUGAACCCAUUGGCACUUCCUUUUGAAGGAAAUUCGAGAGAUUAUGUUGCUCAUAGACAUUAGCGCCCCUGGUAGGGACAAACAUAGCUUUCUAUAGAUACUCUACGAUCCAGGCAAUCUCAUUCGGUCGUAAAUUGAAGAAAAAUCUUGUGGCUAUAUGCCUUAUUCUCCUUGUUUUCAUCGGAUGGCAUGCUGAAACUCAUGCGCGUGAAAGCCAAGAACAAAAGGGCAUUCCUGGCAUCGGUCAAUAUAUAUGUGGAAACAAUAUCUCCACUAUAGAGGAUAAGAAAUUUUGGGGCGGUUAGGCAAAAAGCGUCACGGGAAAAUUAAGUACUUUCAAUGACUGCCAUAGAAUGGACCGAUGUUCACUAGAACGGUCAUAGCUUUGUCAUUCAGGGUUCGUGUCGGGCCGACAAGUACUCAAUCUGCUCGCGGUGAGUGUGUGAAUCCAGAAAAUACUCCCGGCAUGGAUCUGGAGGCCCGAAGUACCCUCAAAUUUGGCUUUAAGUAGGACUUUUUGGCCCUGAAAGUCAAAGAACAUCAUUCGUCGCGGUUUUUCGGACAAGUUUCUGAACCCAUUGGCACUUCCUUUUGAAGGAAAUUCGAGAGGUUAUGUUGCUCAUAGACAUUAGCACCCCUGGUAGGGACAAACGUAGAUUUCUGCAGAUGCUAUAUGAUUCGGGCAAUUUCAUUUGGCCGUAAAUUGAAGAAAAUCCUGCGGCUAUAUGCCUCAUUCUCCUUCUUUUCACCGGAUGGCAUGAUGUAACUCAUGCGUGUGAAAGCCAGGAACAAAAGGGCAUUCCUACAAUCGGUCAAUAUAUAUGUGGAAACAAUAUCUCCACUAUAGAGGACAAGAAAUUUCGGGGCGGUCAGGCAAAAAGCGUCAUGGGAAAAUGAAGUAAUUUCAAGGACUUCCAUAGAAUGGACCGAUGUUCACUAAAACGAUCAUAACUUUGUCAUUCUAUGUCCUUCGGGCCCACAAGUAAUCAAAUUGCUCGCGGCGAGCGUGCGAAUCCAGAAAUUACUCCCGGCUCGUGCCUGGAGGCCCGAAGUACCCUCAAAUUCGGCCUUAAGCAUGACUUUUUGGCCCUGAAAGUCAAAGAAAAUCACUCACCGUUGUUUUUUGGACAAGUUUUUGGACCCAUUGGCACUUCCUUUUGACGGGAAUUUGAGAGAUUAUGUUGCUCAUAGACAUUAGCGCCCCUAGUAGUGACAAAUGUAGCUCUCUGCAGAUGCUCUAUGAUUCGGGCAAUCUCCUUUGGCCGUAAAUUGAAGAAAAUCCUGCGGCUAUAUGCCUUAUUCUCCUUAUUAUCACCGAAUGGCAUGUCGUAACUCAUGUGUGUGAAAGCCAAGAACAAAAGGGAAUUCCUAGCAUCGGUCAAUAUAUAUGUGGAAACAAUAUCUCCACUAUACAAGACAAGAAAUUUUGGGGCGGUCAGGCAAAAAGCGUCACGGGAAAAUGAAGUACUUUCAAGGACUUCCAUAGAAUGGACCGAUGUUCACUAAAAUGGUCAUAACUUUGUCAUUCGGAGUCCUUCGGGCCCACAAGUAAUCAAACUGCUCGCGGCAAGCAUGCGAAUCUAGAAAUUACUCCCGGCUUGUGCCUGGAGGCCCGAAGUACCCUCAAAUUCGGCCUUAAGCGGGACUUUUUGGCCCUGAAAGUCCAAGAACAUCAUUCGCCGCUGUUUUCCGGACAAGUUUCUGAACCCAUUAACACUUCCUUUUGAAGGAAAUUCGAGAGAUUAUGUUGCUCAUAGACAUUAGCGCCCCUGGUAGGGACAAACGUAUCUUUCGACAGAUACUCUACGAUCCGGGCAAUCUCAUUUGGCCAUAAAUUGAAGAAAAUCUUGCGGCUAUAUGCCUUAUUCUCCUUGUCUUCACCGGAUGGCAUGCCGAAACUCAUGCACGUGAAAGCCAAGAACAAAAGGGCAUUCCUGGCAUCGGUCAAUAUAUAUAUGUGGAAACAAUAUCUCCACUAUAGAGGACAAGAAAUUUUGGGACAGUCAGGCAAAAAGCAUCACGGGAAAAUGAAGUACUUUCAAGGACUUCCAUAGAAUGGACCGAUGUUCACUAUAACGGUCAUAACUUUGUCAUUCGGAGUCCUUCGGGCCCACAAGUAAUCAAACUGCUCGCGGCAAGCGUGCGAAUCCAGAAAUUACUCCCGGCUUGUGCAUGGAGCCCUGAAAUACCCUCAAAUUCGGCCUUAAGCAGGACUUUUUGGCCCUGAGAGUCAAAGAACAUCAUUCGCCGUUGUUUUGCGGACAAGUUUUUGAACCCAUUGGCACUUCCUUUUGAAGGAAAUUCGAGAGAUUAUGUUGCUCAUAGACAUUAGCGCCCCUAGUAGUGACAAAUGUAGCUUUCUACAGAUGCUCUAUCAUUCGGGCAAUCUCCUUUGGCCGUAAAUUGAAGAAAAUCCUACGUCUAUAUACCUUAUUCUCCUUAUUAUCAGCGGAUGGCAUGUCGUAACUCAUGCUUGUGAAAGCCAAGAACAAAAGGGCAUUCCUAGCAUCGGUCAAUAUAUAUUUGGAAACAAUAUCUUCACUAUAGAGGACAAGAAAUUUUGGGGUGGUCAGGCAAAAUGCGUCACGGGAAAAUGAAGUACUUUCAAGGACUUCCACAGAAUGGACCGAUGUUCACUAAAAUGGUCAUAACUUUGUCAUUCGGAGUCCUUCGGACCCACAAGGAAUGAAACUGCUCGCGGCGAGCGUGCGAAUCCAGAAAUUACUCCCGGCAUGUGCCUGCAGGCCCGAAGUACCCUCAAAUUCGGCCUUAAGCAGGACUUUUUGGCCCUGAAAGUCAAAGAACAUCAUUCACCGCUGUUUUUCGGACAAGUUUCUGAACCCAUUAGCACUUCCUUUUGAAGGAAAUUCGAUAGAUUAUGUUGCUCAUAGACAUUAGCACCCCUGGUAGGGACAAACGUAGCUUUCUACAGAUACUCUAUGAUCCGGGCAAUCUCAUUUGGCCGUAAAUUGAAGAAAAUCUUGCGGCUAUAUGCCUUAUUCUCCUUGUUUUCACUGGAUGGCAUGCUGAAACUCAUGCGCGUGAAAGCCAAGAACAAAAGGGCAUUCCUGGCAUCGGUCAAUAUAUAUAUGUGUAAACAAUAUCUCCACUAUAGAGGACAAGAAAUUUCGGGGCGGUCAGGAAAAAAGCGUCACUGGAAAAUGAAGUACUUUGAAGGACUUCCAUAGAAUGGACCGAUGUUCACUAAAACGGUCAUAACUUUGUCAUUCGGAGUCCUUCAGGCCCACAAGUAAUCAAACUGCUCAUGGCAAGCGUGCGAAUCCAAAAAUUACUCCCGGCUUGUGCAUGGAGCCCCGAAAUACCCUCAAAUUCGGCCUUAAGCGGGACUUUUUGGCCCUGAGAGUCAAAGAACAUCAUUCGCCGCUGUUUUGCGGACAAGUUUUUGAACCCAUUGGCACUUCCUUUUGAAGGAAAUUCGAGAGAUUAUGUUGCUCCUAGACAUUAGCGCCCCUGGUAGGUACAAACAUAGCUUUCUGCAAAUGCUCUAUGAUUCGGGCAAUCUCCUUUGGCUGUAAAUUGAAGACAAUCCUCCGGCUAUAUGCCUUUUUCUCCUUAUUAUCACCGGAUGGCAUGUCGUAACUCAUCCGUGUGAAAGCCAAGAACAAAAGGGCAUUCCUAGCAUCGGUCAGUAUAUAUGUGGAAACAAUAUCUCCACUAUAGAGGACAAGAAAUUUCGGGGCGGUCAGGCAAAAAACAUCACGGGAAGAUGAAGUACUUUCAAGGAGUGCCAUAGAAUGGACUGAUGUUCACUAAAACGGUCAUAACUUUGUCAUUCGGAGUUGGUGUCGGACCCACAAGUACUCAAACUGCUCGCGGCGAGCAUGCGGAUCCAGAAAAUACUAUCUUCUUGCAUUAGGAGACCUAGAGUACCCUCAAAUUCAGCCUUAAGCAGGACGUUUUGGCCCUGAGAGUCAAAGAAUAUCAUUCGCCGUUGUUUUUCGGACAAGUUUGUGAACCCAUUGGCACUUCCUUUUGAAGGAAAUUCGAGAGAUUAUGUUGCUCAUAGACAUUAGCACCCUUGGUAGGGACAAACAUAGCUUUCUACAGAUACUCUACGAUCCGGGCAAUCUCAUUUGGCCAUAAAUUGAAGAAAAUCUUGCGGCUAUAUGCCUUAUUCUCCUUGUUUUCACCGGAUGGCAUGCUGAAACUCAUGCGCAUGAAAGCCAAGAACAAAAGGGAAUUCCUGGCAUCGGUCAAUAUAUAUGUGGAAAUAAUAUCUCCACUAUAGAGGAUAAGAAAUUUUGGGGCGGUUAGGCAAAAAGCUUCACGGGAAAAUGAAGUACUUUCAACGACUGCCAUAGAAUGGACCGAUGUUCACUAAAUCGGUCAUAGCUUUGUCAUUCAGGGUCCAUGUCGGGACCACAAGUACCCAAACUGCUCGCGCGAGCGUGCGAAUCCAGAAAAUACUCCGGAUUGCGCCUGGAGGCCCGAAGUACCCUCAAAUUCGGCUUUAAGCAGGACUUUUUGGCCCUGAAAGUCAAAGAACAUCAUUCGUUGCGGUUUUUCGGACAAGUUUCUGAAUCCAUUGGCACUUCCUUUUGAAGGAAAUUCAAGAGGUGAUGUUGCUCAUAGACAUUGGCACCCCUGGUAGGGACAUACCUAGAUUUCUCCAGAUGCUAUAUGAUUCGGGCAAUUUCAUUUGGCCGUAAAUUGAAGAAAAUCCUGCGGCUAUAUGCCUUAUUCUCCUUGUUUUCACCGGAUGAUAUGCUGUAACUCAUGCGUGUGAAAGCCAAGAACAAAAGGGCAUUCCUGGCAUCGGUCAAUAUAUAUGUGGAAACAAUAUCUCCACUAUAGAUGACAAGAAAUUUCGGGGCGGUCAGGCAAAAAGUGUCACGGGAAAAUGAAGUACUUUCAAGGAUUUCCAUAGAAUGGACCGAUGUUCACUAAAACUGUCAUAACUUUGUCAUUCGGAGUCCUUUGGGCCCACAAGUAAUCAAACUGCUCGCGGCGAGCGUGCGAAUCCAGAAAUUACUCCCGGCUUGUGCCUGGAGGCCCGAAGUACCCUCAAAUUCGGCCUUAAGCAGGACUUUUUGGCCCUGAAAGUCAAAGAACUUCAUUUGCCCCUAUUUUUCGGACAAGUGUUUGAACCCAUUGGCACUUCCUUUUGAAUGAAAUUCGAGAGAUUAUGUUGGUCAUAGACAUUAGUGCCCCUGGUAGGGACAAACAUAGCUUUCUUUAGAUGCUCUAUGAUUCGGGCAAUCUCCUUUGGCCGUAAAUUCAAGAAAAUCUAGCGGCUAUAUGCCUUAUUCUCCUUAUUAUCACCGGAUGGCAUGUCGUAACUCAUGCGUGUGAAAGCCAUGAAUAAAAGGGCAUUCCUAGCAUCGGUAAAUAUAUAUGUGGAAACAAUAUCUCCAGUAUAGAGGACAAGAAAUUUCGGGGCGGUCAGGCAAAAAGUGUCGCGGGAAAAUGAAGUACUUUCAAGGACUGCCAUAGAAUGCACCGAUGUUCACUAAAACGGUCAUAACUUUUUCAUUCAGGGUCCGUGUCGGGCCCACAAGUACUCAAACAGCUCGCGGCGAGCGUGCGAAUCCAGAAAAUACUCCUGGCUUGCGCCUAGAGGGCCGAAGUACCCUAAAUUCGGUCUUAAGCAGUACUUUUUGGCCCUGAAAGUCAAAGAACAUCAUUCGCCGCUGUUUUCGGACAAGUUUCUGAACCCAUUGGCACUUCCUUUUGAAGAAAAUUUGAGAGAUUAUGUUGCUCAUAGACAUUAGCGCCCAUGGUAGGGACAAACGUAGCUUUCUACAGAUACUCUACGAUUCGGGCAAUCUCAUUUGGCCGUAAAUUGAAGAAAAUCCUGCGGCUAUAUGCCUAAUUCUCCUUGUUUACACCGGAUGGCAUGCUGAAACUCAUGCGCGUGAAAGCCAAGAACAAAAGGGUAUUCCUAGCAUCGGUCAAUAUAUAUGUGGAAACAAUAUCUCCACUAUAGAGGACAAGAAAUUCCGGGGUGGUCAGGCAAAAAUCGUCACGGGAAAAUGAAGUACUUUCAAGGACUUCCAUAGAAUGGACCGAUGUUCACUAAAAACGGUCAUAACUUUGUCAUUCGGAGUCCUUCGGGCCCACAAGUAAUCAAACUGCUCGCGGCGAGCGUGCGAAUCGAGAAAUUACUCCCGGCUUGUGCCUGGAGGCCGUAAGUACCCUCAAAUUCGCCUUAAGCAGGACUUUUUGGCCCUGAAAGUCAAAGAACAUCAUUUGUCGCUGUUUUUCGGACAAGUUUUUGAACCCAUUGGCACUUCCUUUUGAAGGAAAUUCGAGAGAUUAUGUUGCUCAUAGACAUUAGCGCCCCUGGUAGGGACAAACUACCUUUUUGCAGAUGCUCUAUGAUUCGGGCAAUCUCCUUUGGCCGUAAAUUAAAGAAAAUCCUACGGCUAUAUGCCUUAUUCUCGUUAUUAUCACCGGAUGGCAUGUCGUAACUCAUGCGUGUGAAAGCCAAGAACAAAAGGGCAUUCCUGGCAUCGGUCAAUAUUUGUGUGGAAACAAUAUCUCCACUAUAGAGGACAAGAAAUUUCGGGGCGGUCAGGCAAAAAGCAUCACGGGAAAAUGAAGUACUUUCAAGGACUGCCAUAGAAUGGACCGAUGUUCACUGAAACAGUCAUAGAUUUGUCAUUCAGGGUCCGUGUCGGGCCCACAAGUACUCAAACUGCUCGCGGCAAGCGUCCAAAUCCAGAAAAUACUCCUGGUAUGCGCCUGGAGGCCCAAAGUACCCUCAAAUUCGGCCUUAAGCAGUACUUUUUGGCCCUGAAAGUCAAAGAACACCAUUCGCCGCUGUUUUCGGACAAGUUUCUGAACCCAUUGGCACUUCCUUUUGAAGGAAAUUCGAAAGAUUAUGUUGCUCAUAGACAUUAGCACCCAUGGUAGGGACAAACAUAGCUUUCUACAGAUACUCUACGAUCCGGGCAAUCUCAUUUGGCCGUAAAUUGAAGAAAAUCUUGCGGCGAUAUGCCUUAUUCUCCUUGUUUUCACCGGAUGGCAUGCUAAAACUCAUGCGCAUGAAAUCCAAGAACAAAAGGGCAUUCCUGGCAUCGGUCAAUAUAUAUGUGGAAACAAUAUCUCCACUAUAGAGGACAAGAAAUUUCGGGGCGGUCAAGCAAAAAGCGUCACGGGAAAAUGAAGUACUUUCAAGGACUUCCACAGAAUGACCCGAUGUUCACUAAAACGGUCAUAACUUUGUCAUUCGGAGUCCUUCGGGCCCACAAGUAAUCAAACUGCUCGCGGAGAGCGUGCGAAUCCAGAAAUUACUCCCGGCUUGUGCCUGGAGGCCCGAAGUACCGUCAAAUUCGGCCUUAAGCAGGACUUUUUGGCCCUGAAAGUCAAAGAACUUCAUUUGCCGCUGUUUUUUGGACAAGUUUCUGAACCCAUUGGCACUUCCUUUUGAAGGAAAUUCGAGAGAUUAUGUUGCUCAUAGACAUUAGCGCCCAUGGUAGGGACAAACAUAGCUUUUUGCAGAUGCUCUAUGAUUCGGGCAAUCUCCUUUGGCCAUAAAUUGAAGAAAAUCCUGCGGCUGCAUGCCUUAUUCUCCUUAUUAUCACCGGAUGGCAUGUUGUAACUCAUGCGUGUGAAAGCCAAGAACAAAAGGGCAUUCCUAGCAUCGGUUAAUAUAUAUAUGGAAACAAUAUCUCCACUAUAGAGGACAAGAAAUUUCGGGGCGGUCAGGCAAAAAGUGUCACGGGAAAAUGAAGUACUUUCAAGGACUGCCAAACAAUGGAGCGAUGUUCACUAAAACGGUCAUAGCUUUGUCAUUCAGGGUCCGUGUCGGGCCCACAAGUACUCAAACUGCUCGCGGCCAGCGUGCAAAUCCAGAAAUUACUCCCGGCUUGUGCCUGGAGGCCCAAAGUACCCUCAAAUUCGGCCUUAAGCAUGACUUUUUGGCCCUGAAAGUCAAAGAACAUAAUCCGCCUCUGUUUUUCGGACAUGUUUUUGAACCCAUUGGCACUUCCUUUUGAAGGAAAUUCGAGAGAUUAUGUUGCUCAUAGACAUUAGCUCCCUUGGUAGGGACAAACUACCUUUCUGCAGAUGCUCUAUGAUUCGGGCAAUCUCCUUUGGCCGUAAAUUGAAGAAAAUCCUGCGGCUAUAUGCCUUAUUCUCCUUAUUAUCACCGGAUGGCAUGUCGUAACUCAUGCACGUGAAAGCCAAGAACAAAAGGGCAUUCCUAGAAUCGGUCAAUAUAUAUGUGGAAACAAUAUCUCCACUAUAGAGGACAAGAAAUUUCGGGGCGGUUAGGCAAAAAGCGUCACGGGAAAAUGAAGUACUUUCAAGGACUGCCAUAGAAUGGACCGAUCUUCACUAAAACGGUCAUAGCUUUGUCAUUCAGGGUCCGUGUCGGGCCCACAAGUACUCAAACUGCUCACGGCGAGCGUGCGAAUCCAGAAAAUACUCCCGGCUUGCGCUUGGAGGCCCAAAGUACCCUCAAAUUCGGCCUUAACAGGACUUUUUGGCCUUGAAAGUCAAAGAACAUCAUUCGCCGCUAUUUUUCGGACAAAUUUCUGAGCCCAUUGGCACAUCCUUUUGAAGGAAAUUCGAGAGAUUAUGUUGCUCAGAGACAUUAGCGCCCAUGGUAGGGACCAUCGUAGCUUUCUACAGAUACGCUACGAUCCGGGCAAUCUCAUUUGGCCGUAAAUUGAAGAAAAUCUUGCGGCUAUAUGCCUUAUUCUCCUUGUUUUCACCGGAUGGCAUGCUAAAACUCAUGCGCGUGAAAUCUAAGAACAAAAGGGCAUUCCUGGCAUCGGUCAAUAUAUAUGUGGAAACAAUAUCUCCACUACAGAGGACAAGAAAUUUUGGGGCGGUUAGGCAAAAAGUUUCACGGGAAAAUGAAGUAAUUUCAACGACUGCCAUAGAAUGGACCGAUGUUCACUAAAACGGUCAUAGCUUUGCCAUUCAGUGUCCAUGUCGGGACCACAAGUACCCAAACUGCUCGCGGCGAGCGUGGGAAUCCAGAAAAUACUCCCGGCUUGCGCCUGGAGGCCCGAAGUACCCUCAAAUUCGGCCUUAAGCAGGAUUUUUUGGCCCUGAAACUCAAACAACAUCAUUCGUUGCGGUUUUUCGGACAAGUUUCUGAACCCAUUGGCACUUCCUUUUGAAGGAAAUUCAAGAGGUGAUGUUGCUCAUAGACAUUGGCACCCCUGGUAGGGACAUACCUAGAUUUCUCUAGAUGCUAUAUGAUUCGGGCAAUUUCAUUUGGCCGUAAAUUGAAGAAAAUCCUGCGGCUAUAUGCCUUAUUCUCCUUGUUUUCACCGGAUGAUAUGCUGUAACUCAUGCGUGUGAAAGCCAAGAACAAAUGGGCAUUCCUGGCAUCGGUCAAUAUAUAUGUGGAAACAAUAUCUCCACUAUAGAUGACAAGAAAUUUCGGGGCGGUCAGGCAAAAAGUAUCAUGGGAAAAUGAAGUACUUUCAAGGACUUCCAUAGAAUGGACUGAUGUUCACUAAAACUGUCAUAACUUUGUCAUUCGGAGUCCUUCGGGCCCACAAGUAAUCAAACUGCUCGCGGCGAGCGUGCGAAUCCAGAAAUUACUCCCGGCUUGUGCCUGGAGGCCCGAAGUACCCUCAAAUUCGGCCUUAAGCAGGACUUUUUGGCCCUGAAAGUCAAAGAACUUCAUUUGCCCCUAUUUUUCGGACAAGUGUUUGAACCCAUUGGCACUUCCUUUUGAAUGAAAUUCGAGAGAUUAUGUUGCUCAUAGACAUUAGUGCCCCUGGUAGGGACAAACAUAGCUUUCUGUAGAUGCUCUAUGAUUCGGGCAAUCUCCUUUGGCCGUAAAUUCAAGAAAAUCUAGCGGCUAUAUGCCUUAUUCUCCUUAUUAUCACCGGAUGGCAUGUCGUAACUCAUGCGUGUGAAAGCCAUGAACAAAAGGGCAUUCCUAGCAUCGGUAAAUAUAUAUGUGGAAACAAUAUCUCCAGUAUGGAGGACAAGAAAUUUCGGGGCGGUCAGGCAAAAAGUGUCACGGGAAAAUGAAGUACUUUCAAGGACUACCAUAGAAUGGACCGAUGUUCACUAAAACGGUCAUAACUUUUUCAUUCAGGGUCCGUGUCGGGCCGACAAGUACUCAAACUGCUCGCGGCGAGCGUGCGAAUCCAGAAAAUACUCCUGGCUUCCGCCUAGAGGGCCGAAGUACCCUCAAAUUCGGCCUUAAGCAGUACUUUUUGGCCCUGAAAGUCAAAGAACAUCAUUCGCCGCUCUUUUCGGACAAGUUUCGGAACCCAUUGGCACUUCCUUUUGAAGGAAAUUUGAGAGAUUAUGUUGCUCAUAGACAUUAGCGCCCAUGGUAGGGACAAACGUAGCUUUCUACAGAUACUCUACGAUUCGGGCAAUCUCAUUUGGCCGUAAAUUGAAGAAAAUCCUGCGGCUAUAUGCCUUAUUCUCCUUGUUUACACCGGAUGGCAUGCUGAAACUCAUGCGCGCGAAAGCCAAGAACAAAAGGGCAUUCCUAGCAUUGGUCAAUAUAUAUGUGGAAACAAUAUCUCCACUAUAGAGGACAAGAAAUUCUGGGGUGGUCAGGCAAAAAGCGUCACGGGAAAAUGAAGUACUUUCAAGGACUUCCAUAGAAUGGACCGAUGUUCACUAAAAACGGUCAUAACUUUGUCAUUCGGAGUCCUUCGGGCCCACAAGUAAUCAAACUGCUCGCGGCGAGCAUGCGAAUCGAGAAAUUACUCCCGGCUUGUGCCUGGAGGCCGUAAGUACCCUCAAAUUCAGCCUUAAGCAGGACUUUUUGGCCCUGAAAGUCAAAGAACAUCAUUUGUCGCUGUUUUUCGGACAAGUUUUUGAACCCAUUGGCAUUUCCUUUUGAAGGAAAUUCGAGAGAUUAUGUUGCUCAUAGACAUUAGCGCCCCUGGUAGGGACAAACUACCUUUCUACAGAUGCUCUAUGAUUCGGGCAAUCUCCUUUGGCCGUAAAUUGAAGAAAAUCCUACGGCUAUAUGCCUUAUUCUCGUUAUUAUCACCGGAUGGCAUGUCGUAACUCAUGCGUGUGAAAGCCAAGGACAAAAGGGCAUUCCUAGCAUCGGUCAAUAUUUAUGUGGAAACAAUAUCUCCACUAUAGAGGACAAGAAAUUUCGGGGCGGUCAGGCAAAAAGCGUCACGGGAAAAUGAAGUACUUUCAAGGAGUGCCAUAGAAUGGACCGAUGUUCACUAAAACAGUCAUAGCUUUGUCAUUCAGGGUCCGUGUCGGGCCCACAAGUACUCAAACUGCUCGCGGCAAGCGUCCAAAUCCAUAAAAUACUCCUGGCUUGCGCCUGGAGGCCCGAAGUACCCUCAAAUUCGGCCUUAAGCAGGACUUUUUGGCCCUGAAAGUCAAAGAACAUCAUUCGCCGCUGUUUUCGGACAAGUUUCUGAAUCCAUUGGCACUUCCUUUUGAAGGAAAUUCGAGAUAUUAUGUUGCUCAGAGACAUUAGCACCCAUGGUAGGGACGAACGUAGCUUUCUACAGAUACUCUAAGAUCCGGGCAAUCUCAUUUGGCCGUAAAUUGAAGAAAAUCUUGCGGCUAUAUGCCUUAUUCUCCUUGUUUUCACCGGAUGGCAUGCUAAAACUCAUGUGCGUGAAAUCCAAGAACAAAAGGGCAUUCCUGGCAUCGGUCAAUAUAUAUGUGGAAACAAUAUCUCCACUAUAGAGGACAAGAAAUUUCGGGGCGGUCAGGCAAAAAGCGUCACGGGAAAAUGAAGUACUUUCAAGGACUUCCACAGAAUGACCCGAUGUUCACUAAAACGGUCAUAACUUUGUCAUUCGGAGUCCUUCGGGCCCACAAGUAAUCAAACUGCUCGCGGAGAGCGUGCGAAUCCAGAAAUUACUCCCGGCUUGUGCCUGGAGGCCCGAAGUACCCUCAAAUUCGGCCUUAAGCAGGACUUUUUGGCCCUGAAAGUCAAAGAACUUCAUUUGCCGCUGUUUUUGGACAAGUUUCUGAACCCAUUGGCACUUCCUUUUGAAGAAAAUUUGAGAGAUUAUGUUGCUCAUAGACAUUAGCGCCCAUGGUAGGGACAAACAUAGCUUUCUGCAGAUGCUCUAUGAUUCGGUCAAUCUCCUUUGGCCGUAAAUUGAAGAAAAUCCUGCGGCUGCAUGCCUUAUUCUCCUUAUUAUCACCGGAUGGCAUGUUGUAACUCAUGCGUGUGAAAGCCAAGAACAAAAGGGCAUUCCUAGCAUCGGUUAAUAUAUAUAUGGAAACAAUAUCUCCACUAUAGAGGAGAAGAAAUUUUGGGGCGGUCAGGCAAAAAGUGUCAUAGAAAAAUGAAGUACUUUCAAGGACUGCUGAACAAUGGACCGAUGUUCACUAAAAUGGUCAUAGCUUUGUCAUUCAGGGUCCGUGUCGGGCCCACAAGUACUCAAACUGCUCGCGGCCAACGUGCGAAUCCAAAAAUUACUCCCGGCUUGUGCCUGGAGGCCCGAAGUACCCUCAAAUUCGGCCUUAAGCAUGACUUUUUGGCCCUGAAAGUCAAAGAACAUAAUUCACCGCUAUUUUUCGGACAUGUUUUUGAACCCAUUGGCACUUCCUUUUGAAGGAAAUUCGAGAGAUUAUGUUGCUCAUAGACAUUAGCUCCCUUGGUAGGGACAAACUACCUUUCUGCAGAUGCUCUAUGAUUCGGGCAAUCUCCUUUGGCCGUAAAUUGAAGAAAAUCCUGCGGCUAUAUGCCUUAUUCUCCUUAUUAUCACUGGAUGGCAUGUCGUAACUCAUGCGCGUGAAAGCCAAGAACAAAAGGGCAUUCCUAGAAUCGGUCAAUAUAUAUGUGGAAACAAUAUCUCCACUAUAGAGGACAAGAAAUUUCGGGGCGGUUAGGCAAAAAGCGUCACGGGAAAAUGAAGUACUUUCAAGGACUGCCAUAGAAUGGACCGAUCUUCACUAAAACGGUCAUAGCUUUGUCAUUCAGGGUCCGUGUCGGGCCCACAAGUACUCAAACUGCUCGCGGCGAGCGUGCGAAUCGAAAAAAUACUCCCGGCUUGCGCUUGGAGGCCCGAAGUACCCUCAAAUUCGGCCUUAACAGGACUUUUUGGCCUUGAAAGUCAAAGAACAUCAUUCGCCGCUGUUUUUCGGACAAAUUUCUGAGCCCAUUGGCACUUCCUUUUGAAGGAAAUUCGAGAGAUUAUGUUGCUCAGAGACAUUAGCGCCCAUGGUAGGGACCAACGUAGCUUUCUACAGAUACGCUACGAUCCGGGCAAUCUCAUUUGGCCGUAAAUUGAAGAAAAUCUUGCGGCUAUAUGCCUUAUUCUCCUUGUUUUCACUGGAUGGCAUGCUAAAACUCAUGCGCGUGAAAUCUAAGAACAAAAGGGCAUUCCUGGCAUCGGUCAAUAUAUAUGUGGAAACAAUAUCUCCACUACAGAGGAUAAGAAAUUUCAGGGUGGUCAGGCAAAAAGCUUCACGGGAAAAUGAAGUACUUUCAAGGACUUCCAUAGAAUGACCCGAUGUUCACUAAAACGGUCAUAACUUUGUCAUUCGGAGUCCUUCGGGCCCACAAGUAAUCAAACUGUUCACGGAGAGCGUGUGAAUCCGAAAUUACUCCCGGCUUGUGCCUGGAGGCCCGAAGUACCCUCAAAUUCGGCCUUAAGCAGGACUUUUUGGCCCUGAAAGUCAAAGAACAUCAUUCGCCGCUAUUUUUUGGACAAGUUUCUGAACCCAUUGGCACUUCCUUUUGAAGGAAAUUCGAGAGAUUAUGUUGCUCACGGGCAUUAGUGCCCAUGGUAGGGACAAACGUAGCUUUCUGUAGAUGCUCUAUGAUUCGGGCAAUCUCCUUUGGCCGUAAAUUGAAGAAAAUCAUGCGGCUAUAUGCCUUAUUCUCCUUAUUAUCACCGGAUGGCAUGUCGUAACUCAUGCGUGUGAAAGCCAAGAACAAAAGGGCAUUCCUAGCAUCGGUUAAUAUAUAUGUGGAAACAAUAUCUCCACUAUAGAGGACAAGAAAUUUCGGGGUGGUCAAGCAAAAAGCAUCACGGGAAAAUGAAGUACUUUCAAGGACUGCCAUAGAAUGGACCGAUGUUCACUAAAACGGUCAUAACUUUGUCAUUCGGAGUCGGUGUCGGACCCACAAGUACUCAAACUGCUCGUGGCGAGUGUGCGGAUCCAGAAAAUACUCGCUGCUUGCGUUAGGAGACCCGGACUACCCUCAAAUUUGGCCUUAAGCAGGACUUUUUGGGCCUAAAAGUCAAAGAACAUCAUUCGCCGCUAUUUUUCGGACAAGUUUCUGAACCCAUUGGCACUUCCUUUUGAAGGAAAUUCGUGAGAUUAUGUUGCUCAUAGACAUUAGCGCCCCUGGUAGGGACAAACGUAGAUUUCUAUAGAUACUUCAUGAACUGGGAUAUCUCAUUUGGCCGUAAAUUGAAGAAAAUCUUGCAGCUAUAUGCCUUAUCACUACUAGGGAAAAGGCUAGCAGCAACGCGGGUUUUAGGUGUAUCAGUAGCGUGGGGGAAGGUGCCACUAAUAAGGCGCUACAGCUAACACAAAGCAGUAGCGCGUGCUCACUGGCGCUACUGCUACACAAGUGUAGCAGCAGCGCGGUUUGUGGGAGCUCGCUACUGCUAAUAGCUCUAGCGCUCUUUGCCUGGACGUGCUACUGCUAUCGCGGCGCUGCUGCUAUCUUUUAUACACUCGCUACUACUAAUUUAAGUAGUUUUUUGUUUUUUCGGCAUAUUUGUUUUGUAUUUGAACAGGCUUUAUAGAAGAAUCUUUAGCACAUAGAAAUAUCAUCAUGAUACACAUACAAAUGCUUGCGAGACCACAAAUGUAAUCAUAGCAUAUACAUACAAAUAGUCUCAUCAUAAUCAUCAUCCAACACAAAGUGAUAUCUUGUCAUCAUCUCGAAAAUAGCGAUACAUGCAAGUCUCGAAUACUUGCAACUACAACAACGUCAUCCAUCUAAACAAAGGUAUACGCAAGAAGUGCUAUCACUAUGAGUGAGAGCGGAACUAUGCAGUACAUGAGGUGGCGGUUACGAGUCCUCUCUCGCGCUAGCGUGAACCUCAAGUAACUAGCUUCUCCUUCUUGUUUGCUUUUGAAGCCUUUAUGGCUGGCGCCCGUGAACCCAUUCACUUGCGCCUGACACUCAUGCCACUCGUUGUACACCCCCGAAACCUUCCCUUUGUACACGACAUAGCAAUUCCAUCUCGCCAUCAAGAAACUAGGUACCUGUUAGAGAUGCAUGUUCAUGAAGAGGAUGUACAAUCAUAUAUAUGCAACAAAAUAUACUAGAGCAACACCGAAAAAGAAAGGGUUAGCAACUAGAUGCAACAUACAAUAAGCAAAUUAAUUAACUAGAGGUACGCUAGUCAUCGUACGCAAACUAACAGAGUAGCGUUACGCAAGUUCGGCAGGGACCAUGGACAUCACAAAGUUUCAUCGCUACAAAACGUAUACAAGUUCAACCGACACAUAUCAUCAUCAUCGGCAUCAUAAAUCACUAGAAGUUCCAUCCUUCCAUAUCAUCGAGGAUGAACCCUAGCUUCUUGAACGGCGUGAGGUCUAGACGUUGCAUGCCUAUGCGAGUUCGGACGUCAGCUCGCGAUAUAGGGCCGUGGUGGAACACCCCCUUCUCAUCGAUGACUUCUUUCAUGAUGAUCGUCGCAAUGUCACUUUGGAUGCGAAAGAAGUCAUCUCUAAGUUUAUAAUCCGCUUCUCCAUGAGAUUCUAGCCACUUGUGGAUAUGAUCAUCAUUUCUGCUUGUCAUGCGAAGCUUUUGGUGAUCCAUGUUGAACUGAAUCAUGAGAUGGAAAAUGUAGAAUCCAUCCUUCUUGCUUGGUUUUGGGACAUGGAUGCAGGAGAAGUUAGUUUUAUGCACAAAACCCAUCUUCUUGUUCCUUUCUUUCCCGAUCUGCACGUGGCCACCUCUAAAGCUAAAGCCUUGGAGAGCAUCAUCUAGAAUAUUCAUUAUGUGGGUGUAGUCCUUUUUCUCGUAGUCUCUGGAAGGGUUAAAAUACACGGCGUGGGAGACUUGCGGGUAAAGAACGAUAAGGACGACGCGCCCGUUGCUGCGGGGAAAAGACACCUCAAAUUAUUCCCCAUAUGAGAGAGAAGGAAUGAUUGAAAUGUAUGAAAGGGUUGUCCGAAACUGACUUACUUUGGAUGAUAAGGCACGAGGACAAUUUCCGGGUCCUUAUUCUGUACCAUGAACUUUUGGAGGUACUCCCUAGCAGUUUCACGCUCAAAGUCGCCGAGACUCAAGAAAGACUCGUGCAUGUAGUACGGAUCCGCCACACAGAUUUGCGAGACUUCUUCACUCUUCAUGACGAAGCUCAUAUGUAGCGCAAAAAGGCGGACGAUAGUAAAAUCGAGCCGCCUUGUUAGAAACAUCUCAAAGAUAUGGUCAAACCGCAGGAAGAACACCUCCGCGGGCCGUGUGUCGACGUAGCACUUCCCCUCAGGCACACGAGCCGCAUAUGUCGGAUAUCCUAGAUCCUUUGAGGCUACUAGGCUUUUCUCAGUCGACAGCACAUGGUCGUGCAGUCUCCUGAGAUCCCCUGAUAGUGCCUCCAGCGGUUUUGGCGGUAGCAUUGGCUCGCCCGUGAGAUGGAACAUGACCGCACCUUUCACGGGUACACGCUCUUCAGAAUGCAUCGUCUGGCUGCUAUGUGCUCUGGCUUGUUUGGAGGCAGUUACCUUCCCCGAUCUCUUCCUCUCCUUUUUCUUGGGCACACCUUCCAGACCCUUCCUUAACCCGUGCCCCAGUGUUCCCGGGCUAAGUACUGUAUGAUCCUUGCUCCCGGCUAGUUGAGCAUGUGUUGAGGCGGCAUCUUCAGGCGUGUCCUAUGAGGAUUUCAUGAAGAGAGACUUUUUGCAAUCCCUGCUACGACCCUGCCCGGGCAUAUCAUCCAUAUCCUCAUUAGCAAGAUGAUAGCCCGAUUCGUCAUAUGGUUGACUCAUCAUAUCUAUGUCACAGUCAUAUGCGUUUCUAUUGAUGAAAUCCAUAGGGUCGACCUCUGCCUCAUCAUCCAUUCUUUGUUCUACAGGAGAAAUUACAUCAGCCAGUACUAUUGCACCCCCUUCAUCAUGUUGUCCGCCGCUCUCACCCGGCACUACAGGAGCUGGUAAUUGCGUAGGCAGGGUGGUGGUCUCCGCACAUGCUUGUUGAUGUGUGGUAGUUAUUGGUGUGCUCUCGGCCGGCUCCAAACGAAUAAGAUUCUUCGGCCAUAGCAGCACCCAAUUCUUGCAGCUUCCAAUCCGCGGCGGGGUCUUGUCGUCCGCUCCCACAUGCUGUACUGGAGGAGGCAAAUCCUCGUGCCCCGAUUACACACUGGUCAAGCUAACCCUGAAGUGCCCAGUGGGGAUCGGCUGGUUGUGGAACGUGCGUUGCGAGGGGUCCAUUAGCAUCCCCUUUCCCACGUCCACCUUCUGGCCUUUGAUCAAGUAGAGUAUGGUGCACGGGGUUUCUUUCGCCUGCAAACACAUAUGUCUGUGGCGUAAAACAACCGAAAGGCAACAAAAAUGGAAUAUUAUAUAUAUAUAUAUAUAUAUAUAUAUAUAUAUAUAUAUGUUGGUGCGACAUGUAAUUACCAUGACGGCGUCGAGCUCAGCCAAAGACGAAGGCCCACCUAGCGCGCCUGAGACUGAGGACGGGCUGCUAUGAGUGGGAGCGGCUGUGAGAGGAGGCCCGGUUGCGUGAGCAAGUGAUGGUGCGAUGGUGUUGUUGUUCAUGGAGUUGCUCCCGACGAAACUGGGCAACAGGAAAUCAUGUACCGUCUUGUCUGGAUUUUCCUUCGUCCAGUUGAUGAUAACUGGAACCAAGUUAGUAGCAAAAUCAUUUCUGCAGGCAGUUACAGCUGCAUUGACUGCCUGAUGUAGCAACUCAUAUUUGUCCUCGGCUGCUUUUUUCGCGUCCUCAGCUGCUUUUUUCUUGACCGCAAGCUUCACCUUCGUGUCGAUGUCCGCCUUAUCCCAUAUGAACUUCGCGAAGGGGUCUGGGAGACCAGCGGCUUCACGUUUCGCGUCCUCCUAUACCAUAUGGGCCUUUUACCGAGGUAGCCACGGCUUCCAGGGCGAUGCUUCCUCGUGUUCCUUUGCUGAAGGCUCUUGAAUUUCACAGCCUUAGCCUUGGCUGCCUCGGUAGCGCAAGUGUCCUUGAACUUUUCGAACUCCUCUUCCGUAAGUGUCGGAUUUUCCUCCAGAAUCUUGGACAGGGGUUCAUCAGCCUCAAUAGCUUGUUUCACCCUCCCUUUCCAGGAGGCCAAAUCAUUGCUGAACAUGCCCAUGGCGUGAUUGUUAAUCUUUUUCAUUUUCGGAUCAUCCCACGGUUGUUCUAUGUUAUCAUCCCGGUCGGGGAACUUGAAUCUCUUGUGCAACUUCGUUAGGAGCAACUACGUCAAAUGUUCUUUACUCCUUAAGUCAUCGUCGUUGAUGCUCGCGCAUUCUCGUAGGAUGCAUCCUACUUGGUUCCCAUAGCACUUGCGAGGUUCUUCCAGCUCUUACGGCUCAAACUUGCCAGGUGCCAUCUUUGUGAUCACAAGUCGUCCAAUCCCUAGUUUGUUAGGUUUUCGUAUCCUCUGCUUCUUAUGCUUCCUCUUUUCGGUAGCGGCAUCGGGGCCGGUACCUUCCCCGCCGGUACCUUCCCCACCGGUCUCGGUGCCGCCAUCGGUGCGGCGCCGUCGGUGUCGAUGUCGGCGUCAGUACCAUCAUCGAGGCCAACCUGCAAACCUUGCUUAGCAGUCAAAUAGUCGAGGUACUCUUGUUCACCCUCAUAAUCCAUCUCGUCUGCAUCUUGGUCAGAAGGCCCAUUUUCUUCGUUGUUUGACAUGUUUCCUAUGAUUAAGUGUCCUCAUUUAUUUCUAAAAGUAUGAAUAAAUUAGAAAUGACAUAAAAAGAAAUCUAUGUGCCAGCACUCGAUAUGCCAACUAUGUAGCACAAAUCAUGCCUUUAUUAACGGGAAAUUUCGGCAUGACCUUUGCUAAAAAAUGGACAUAUCGAGCGCCUGAAAUUCACCGGAACGGAAAUGAAUCAACAUUCCGGCGUAACAUAGGCCACUCGGAUCAUUUUCCAAACAUGACAUGUCCAAAACAUGACAUAUGCAUGUAUCACAUGUCCAGUUCAAAUUUGCAUAUAAAUUCAGCUAAUUUUGAAACCUAGCUAAAUUCAUAACUAAAUAGAAAACCUAAGUAAAUUAACCGAAGAACCCUAGCAGAGAGAGGAGGGGUUUACAGAGGGUGCAGGGGCGAGGAGGCAGGCCCGAGGACGGCCGGGAGGGGAGAGGAGGGAGGCGAGGGCCGACGGCUCAGGGGCGAGCGCGCCGGGGUCGGGAGCGAGCGCCGACGCCGGGGUCGGGGGCGAGGGACGGNNNNNNNNNNNNNNNNNNNNNNNNNNNNNNNNNNNNNNNNNNNNNNNNNNNNNNNNNNNNNNNNNNNNNNNNNNNNNNNNNNNNNNNNNNNNNNNNNNNNNNNNNNNNNNNNNNNNNNNNNNNNNNNNNNNNNNNNNNNNNNNNNNNNNNNNNNNNNNNNNNNNNNNNNNNNNNNNNNNNNNNNNNNNNNNNNNNNNNNNNNNNNNNNNNNNNNNNNNNNNNNNNNNNNNNNNNNNNNNNNNNNNNNNNNNNNNNNNNNNNNNNNNNNNNNNNNNNNNNNNNNNNNNNNNNNNNNNNNNNNNNNNNNNNNNNNNNNNNNNNNNNNNNNNNNNNNNNNNNNNNNNNNNNNNNNNNNNNNNNNNCCGGGGUCGGGGGCGAGGGCCGGGUCGGGGGCGAGCGCCGGGGUCGGGGGCGAGCGCCGGUGCCGGAGUCGGGGGCGAGCGCCGGGGCCGGGUAGGGCAUGGCGGUGCGACGGGGGAAGAGAGAGUGGGGAUUUGGGGGGAAAGGCGGGAUGAAGCAGGUCGAGUGAGAAUUUUGGGUUAAGUGGACGUAGCAGUAGUGCAUUUGGAUAAAACGCGCUGCUACUACCUUCAGUAUCUGUAGUGCUUUAUACGAAAUGCGCUACUACUAACUUCAGUAGCUGUAGCGGUUUAGACAAAACGCGCUGCUACUACCUUUGCUACUUGCCAGUUUCCCUUUUUCUUUUCCUUUAUUUUAUCCCACUUUUAUUUCCCGAGGGCAGUGAACGAAGGGAGGGCGAUAUAUAUUGCAUCAUUUGAUGGUUAAAUAUGUAUGCAAAAUAGGAACAUAUAUAUUACAUCAUUGGACCCAUGCAUAAUAAUGGCUAAGUGUGUAUACAAAAUAGGAACAUAUAUAUAUAUAUUACAUCAUUUGACCGAUAACAUACGGUUCCUCAGUGCUGACGUUUUCGUUUUUGAGUCAGCCUCUUUCCCUUCUUGUUCAUCGAAGAAUAAUUGAGCCUCUGAUUGUGACUUUGCCUUUUCCAUGGAGUACGAUUUUUCUUAGGUAAUGUAGCAUCACACUGAUCGACUUUUGAGAGGUGACUUCAAAAAAGUUGCAGAGACCAAUAAGCGUGUCACGGACGUGCUUGUCCAUUAUCCCUCUAAAGGCAACAAGUAGUAUCUGUGUCAUCAUCACAUGACAGUCAUGAGACUUCAUCCCGCUGAACCUUUUCUUGUUCGUGUCUAGAUAUCUGCUUAUCUUGCCACAGUAACCGGAACUAACAUUGACUCCGGUAAGGCACUUAAAGAAGGCAUUGAUCUCAGCCUGACUUAAGGUGAAGCAAGAAGGGGGGCAAUAAUCCUCUUUCUUUAUUUUCUUGCCCUUCUUCUCCCGUGCCUCUGUCUCACAAGAAGGGUGGCUAUCAUUUUGGUGGAAUUGACUUUGACGAUCCGACCACGAACGUGCGAGAACGUGGCGCCUUAGCAAUCGCUAAACCAACUCCGAGAGGUUAUUGACCACGCUGGAGCAUGAUCAACCUGACCACGAAGGUCUAUUUCCUGCAAGCAAACGAAGAACCGAUGAGGACAUGACUACCUUGAAUAAGACCAAAAAUAUUGCAUACAUGCAUAUUUGUCAGGUGAUUUCUAGUGCAAACUAUUCAAUAAUCUAUUUAUGUUAUCCAGAACAAAAAUACUUCACACAUUUUUGUGUUUUGUCUAAUUGGAGGUGUAUGGGCCAUUUGUACAAUCCACAUAUGAAGAUAAGGGAAAAGGAGAAGUUUAGGUGCUGUUCAAAAAGUCCUCUCACGUCACUUUUGGGCCAAGAGAAGAUAGAGUCCAAGUCUCUCACGUUCUGGAUUCAGAUUCGGACUACACAGACAUACUUGAAUCAAAACGCCAAGAACUUUUUCAUACGGACUCUAAAUUAGGUGAUUCCUUUUUUGGUGGAACUAGAUUUUGUGCACUUUCUAACCCAAUUGGAUUCACCUUCAAAUUUGUCCGGAGCAUUGAGUUAUGGACGAAACAAUCUGAUGCUGCAGCAGAAACCGAGUUAAACUACAAGUCCAAAGGUGUUACAUCACCUCCACUUGGGCCCAUUGGCCUUAUACGACCUAGGGUUAGUUUUAUUCUGCCUUGGGACGUCCUCCCACCUCCUUGGCCGCCACCCCUUGCUCCUAUAUAAGUAGAUCCAUCUAGUAGCUUUUCCCUUGGAAUUUGUUUAGUUAAAAGUUAGCCAUUGCAACUUCGGGUACUUCGUUUGUGUCCAACGACCAGACCAAGACCGCUUACGGAUCCCCACCUUUAUCAAUACUUCAUAUAUACUCGAAAUAUUCAGAUUGCUUUUAUCAUAUUUUUGCUUGUUCUUCGAUUGCUUGCAGGAAUAGACCUUCGUGGUCAGGUUGAUUGUGCUCCGGCGUGGUCAAUAACCCUUUCGAAGUUGGUUUAGCGAUUGCUAAGGCACAACAUCGUGCAUGUUUGUAGUCGGAUCGUCAAAGUCAUCUUCACCAAAUCGAUAGUUAUCAUCUUAUAGAAAGAUCGGGACACCCUGCCUCUAUCAAGUGGUAUCAGUUUUCAGGUUGCUUGGUGAGAAUUUCCAGUUAUCUUUAGAUUAGAUUUAUUUUCUUACCUUUUGUCUAAGAAAAAGCCACAAAAAAGUUAGAUCUAUUCAUCCUUUUUCCAAGCCAGUCUGAGCCUUUUCAAUUUUCUAUUUAUUGCUUGCAUAGUUGAAUUAUCGGUUGCAUCGUCGUGUCGAGUUGCUGGUCUUAGUGUCUAGUUCGUUUAGAGUUUCGAGUUCUGUUCACAUUAGUCACGUCGCCGAUGCAUCGUUAUCCCUUCCGCUGUCCACUACAUAUCCAUCAAUUUCCAUCACGUGCUACCCACUGUUCAUUGUCAUAAUCAUAGUUGAGAUCAAUCACAUCUUCGCUUGAUCCAAUCUGCAUCUUAUCUAGUGUGUUUUGGAAAGAGUGAGAGAAAAAAGGUAGAGAAAAAAAGAGAGAAAAAAGGGAAGAAAAAAAAUAAAAAGAGAGAGAAGAAAAAGAAAAAAAAGUGUGAGAAAAAAAAGAGAGAAGAAAAAAAAUUCAGAUCAAUCUAGAAUCAAUCUCAUACCUGAAUUCGAAUUGGAAUCUGUUUUGCGCACUGUUCAGUAAAAUAGGUGUAUCUUCCUCAUACAAAGUCCAUUUUGGCCCCGUAAGUACUCAAAUUAAAGCUAGCGACGAGCCACAUCUAAAUAGUUGCAGAAGCUACUUCAAUAUUUGACACCUCAAAAUCGGCUUCUAAAUAGGUCUUUUUGCCCUCCGAAGUUUGUGAACACAACUUGUUCUAAUUUUUCAGGCUAGCUUUAGAAUUAUUUGACUCGUCAUAUCAAUUCAGAAUUGAGUGAUUCUUUUUGCAUUGGAAAUCUUGAGUUAGUACCAUUCUUUAAAAAAUUUAUCAGAAAAUUGGCUCAAACUUUUCAAGAGGAAAGUUGGAGAGAGAGUUGUGGUAUAUCCUGCUUGGCAGUUGUUUUUCAUCAUUAUCUUUACUGCCGUUGCGAUCUUCACUUAUAUCUUGCUGUCCACAGCUACUUAGUAUCCUUCAUUGAUGCCAGUUGUGCUAUGCAGUGACCUCAUUAGUGUUCUAGGCUCGCGUCUCUAGUCCGGUCUAGCCUAAGACCAGCACAGUACCGUCGUUGAGCAUUUAUUCAACAUUGCAUCUUUGAAUUGAUUAUUGCUAAUUUUUUGCUACCAUAUAUAGCCAACCCAGCUCCACAUAUUUCUACACCGUGCAUACGUACGUUUCCUUGGCAAUCGCUUUACACAAUCUUCCGAGUUAUUUGACACUGCUGGUUGCCUGUCACCACCUGCUGCAUGGUAAGAACUUGUAAGAUAUUGAUAUUUGCUAUACUGUGAGUGUUUUACCACCACAUCCUAGUAGUUCAUAGGAACAUUAUUCUCGAAUUUUGUUUCUUAUUUCUACUAAUCAUGACAGGUUCCGGAGAUAGAGGUUCUUGGAUGACGAACACAUCUCCACCAUCACGAGAGUUGGGACAACACACACAAGCACAUGGUCAGGUUAUCUCUUUACCGUCAUUUGAGGGUAGAUUUAAUCCUGCUAUUUAUCUUGCUUGGGAGCUUGAACUAGAACAAGUUUUUAGUCACCAUGACUUUUCUGAACUUGAGCAAGUACGAGCUUCCACCAGAACAUCUACUGGUUUUGCUUCUGUUUGGUGGAGUGUGCAUUGUAAGAAAAACAUUGAUAACCAACCCACAACUUGGAAAGAUUUGAAAGAUGUAAUGAUACAACAAUUUUUCCCUCCUUACUAUCAUCGUGAAUUGCUUCGCAAAUUUGAACAAUUUAAACAAGGCAACAACACUGUUCAUGCUUACUACCAAGAGUUCAAAUCUUAUAUGCAUCAUUGUGACAUAGAAGAAUCUAAGGAUGAUACAAUGAAUAGAUUUUUUGGUGGUUUGAACCAUGAUAUUCAAGCAAGAUUUCAGUAUAUUCCUCGUUGAAUUACUGGUAUGUAUGUUCGUGCUUGUACCUUUGAGAGACAGUUACAGGAGGAUGCAUUGGGUGACUACAACAAUUACUAUUCCAAUUCAUGCUCACUACCAUCUGUUGAUUCCUCCAUCGUUACACCUUCUAGAGCAGCCACACCUUAGAUUAUGAGUGCGACAUCAUCUCAAGUGUAUGGUAUAUUGCCAUUGUCCAUACCUACAUCAGCUACAUCUUUGCGACAAGGUAACAGUAAAGGUAUUGAUGAUAUAAUUUCACAUGAGAAUGAUGCAUGCCUAAUUAACUUAAAUACAUCAUGUGUUGAGUUACCUGUUGAUUUGAGCACGCCACCUAGUUUAGAGAAUCAUGUUACUAUCAUUAAUGCAUCAUGUGAUCAAACAACUGAAAUACCAACAAUUUUGACUGUGCCCAUUGAAUUAACUGUUGAUGUCAAAGAACCAUGUGCUCAGGAAAUAAUUCAGAUUUGGAUCAAAUACAUUUUAAAAUAAUUGUGCCAAUGUUUAGUCAUUUUGAUAUGACCUCUAACCUUGGUGAUCACUCUGUGUCGAAUGACUUAUUGCACGUUUUCUUAUUUAAGCAUGUUGUAGCAUGUAAAUUUGAUGCACGUAAGGUUUAUUCACCAAUGUUGGGAUGGUUUAAUGAUGAAUGUUGCCAAUCUUUUGAUAUGAAUAAAAGCUUCACUUAUAUGUGCAAACUGAGUUGCAAUAUUUUCAUGCAUUCUACUUAUUAUAAUAUUUUGGCUUUAUAUUUUAUAAUCUAUGAAGGUUCCUCAUAUAUACAUGUGUCAUAUGUGCAAAAAUCAAGGGAAGUAAAAAUGGAUGACAUAUACAUAUACAACAUGUACACCUUGUCUGUUUUGUUAGCCACAUUUCAGAUUAAGCAAUGCCGAGGACAACUUUGUUUUGAAGAAGGGGAGGAUGAUGAGGACAUGACUACCUUGGAUAAGACCAAAAAUAUUGCAUACAUGCAUAUUUGUCAGGUGAUUUCUAGUGCAAACUAUUCAAUAAUCUAUUUAUGUUAUCCAGAACAAAAAUACUUCACACAGUUUUGUGUUUUGUCUAAUUGCAGGUGUAUGGGACAUUUGUACAAUCCGCAUAUGAAGAUAAGGGAAAAGGAAAAGUUUAGGUGCUGUUCAAAAAGUCCUCUCACGUCACUUUUGGGCCAAGAGAAGAUAGAGUCCAAGUCUCUCACGUUCUGGAUUCAGAUUCGGACUGCACAGACAUACCUGACUCAAAACACAAACAACGUUUUCAUACGAACAUCAAACUGGGUGAUUCUUUUUUUGUUGGAAACUAGAUUUCGUGCACUUUCCAAUCCAACUGGAUUCGCCUUCAAAUUCGUCCGGAGCGUAUAGUUAUGGACAAAAAAAUCUGAUGCUGCAGCAGAAUCCGAGUUAAACUACAAGUCCAAAGGUGUUACAUCACCUCCACUUGGGCCCAUUGGCCUUGUACGACCUAGGGUUAGUUUUAGGCUGUCUUGGGAAGUCCUCCCACCUCCUUGGCCGCCACCCCUUGCUCCUAUAUAAGUAGAUCCAUCUAGUAGCUUUUCCCUUGGGAUUUGUUUAGUUAAAAGUUAGCCAUUGCAACUUCGGGUACUUCAUUUGUGUCCAAUGACCAGACCAAGACCGCUUACGGAUCCCCACCUUUAUCAAUACUUCAUAUAUACUCGCAAUAUUCAGAUUGCUCUUAUCAUAUUCUUGCUUGUUCUUCGAUUGCUUGCAGGAAUAGACCUUCGUGGUUAGGUUGAUUGUGCUCCAGGGUGGUCAAUAACCCUUUCGAAGUUGGUUUAGCGAUUGCUAAGGCGCAGCGUCGUGCAUGUUUGUAGUCGGAUCGUCAAAUUUAUCUUCACUAAAUCGAUAGUUAUCAUCUCAUCGAAAGAUCGAGACACCCCGCCUCUAUCAAGAACAAGCAAGAAACUAAGAUUGCAAUCUGGAUAUUGCGAAUAAUAGAGGAAAGCUUUAUUAAUGAAGGUGGGGUUUUGAGACGCCUUUGUCUGGUCGUUGAACACAAACGAAGUACGCAAAGUUGCAGCUAUGGCGAACUUUUAAUCUAAACAAAACCCAAAGUCUAAACGGUGCCCUAAGGGCUGUAUAUAUGGAGGAAGAGGGGUAAAUUUCGUGGCCCUUAGUGGAGGGGUCCGAAACCAACCCUAUCUCUUGUUUCCCCACACAUACGGACACUAAAAAUAGCCUACACUUAUGUAUUUCAAAAUUAUAUGGGCCUGGCCCAAUAAAAAGGUGACACAUCACCUAGAAUAGCCUCUGGACAAAAUUUAUAAAGUGACAUCUUGUAUAUUUUGUCCAAGGCUUCAUGCUCUCAUUAUGGUGCUUCAAAGUCCUGAAAUCAUCACUUGCAACUCCGUUCUUGUUCCCCUUGCGCAUGCCAUCAUCUCCGUGCUUGGUCUUGCUCCAAUGUUCAUCCUUCUCCAAGCUUGGCCCUUCAUUUGUAAGCAAAACAAAUGUAUCCAAUUUAGGCAGCAUCAUAUUCUCAUGAGCAUUAGAAUCAUUACCAAGAAACAAAAGUACCUGGUAAUUUAAUUGGCAUGCACGAGCUCUAGUAAUUGAUCCAGUAUGUAUAGCAGCAGGGGAUGUGGGUGUAACAAUGGUAUUGAUGUCCUUGUCAUCCUCCUCUUCUUGAAAUGAAGUCGUCCUCGACGGAAGUUCAUCUUCCUCUCCCAAAUAAGGAUUCAAAUCUGCAAUGUUAAAAGUGGGACUAACCCCAAAAUCCGCAGGCAGCUCAAGUUUGUAUGCAUUAUCAUUUAUUUUCUCUAACACCUUAAAAGGUCCGUUAGCAUGUGGUAACUCUCAAUAGCUUCAAUCUUGGUUUUGUCAACUUCAAUUCCCUAUGGAGUAACAACAUAGCCAAGAAAAGAUACUCGGUCGGUGCAAAAGGUGCACUUCCCAAGGUUACCAAACAAACAUGCAUCACGUAGAGCAAUAAAAACAUGUUCUUCCAAAGAUCUUCUAUAAAUCAAUAUGUCAUCAAAGUAAACUACCACAAAUCAUCCAAUGAAAGCACGUAAAACUUCGUUCAUUAAUCUCAUGAAAGUACUAGGUGCAUUAGUUAACCCAAAAGGCAUGACUAACCACUCAUAUAAUCCAAACUUAAUUUUAAAGGCUGUUUUCCACUCAUCUCCCAAUUUCAUACGAAUUUGAUGGUAUCCACAACGCAAAUCAACUUUGGACAAUAUUGUAGAGCCACUCAAUUCAUCAAGCAUAUCAUCUAGCCUAGAAGUAGGAUGACGAUAACGAAUAGUAAUAUUAUUAAUGCCUCUACAAUCAACACACAUACGUGAUGUACCAUCCUUUUUCGGCACUAGAAUAAUAGGAACAGCACAAGGACUAAGGGAUUCGUGUAUAUAACCUUUGCCGAGCAGCUCCUGUACUUGACGCAUAAUCUCCUUUGUCUCCUCUGGAUUGGUACAGUAUGGUGCAUGGUUGGGUAAUGAUGCACCGGGAAUUAAGUCAAUCUGUUGCUCAAUCCCUCGAAUGGGAGGUAAUCCAGGUGGCAUGUGUUGUGGAAAGACGUCAGCGAACUCCUGCAAAAUGUUAGUGACAGCAGGAGGCAAAUAGGAAGGCACGUUCUCGAAUGAAAAUAAUGCCUCUUUGCACAUAAAAGCAUAGCAAACAGAUUUGCUUAAAUCUAGCUCAUCAAUAUCAGAUUUAGUGGCAAGUAAACAUGCACUUUUCAAUUUAAUUUCAGAAGCAACACUAGAUGGUUUACUAUUAGGCUUCAUUUGUUGCUCAAAUUCUUUUGCCACAAUCUGAUUUGCACUCUUAUUUUUCUCCUGUUUGGCUUUAUUAGCUCUAUUAAUAUCAUCUUUCAAAAUAGAAUCAGGAGUGAUAGGAAGCAAAGUAAUAUUUUUAUCCUUAUGAACAAGAGUAUACUUAUUGUUUCUACCAUGGUGUACAGAAUUUUUAUCAAAUUGCCAUGGUCGACCAAGUAAUAAGGAACAUGCUUGCAUAGGUACCACAUCACAAUCAAUAUAAUUAGCACAUGUAGAGAUAUUAAAUGCACACGAACAGUACGUGUUACCUUGCCGCUGUUGUUGAACCAUUGGAUGCAGUAAGGAUGUGGAUGUGGUCUUGUGGUGAGAGAUAGCAUUCCACCAUCUCCAUGCUAGCCAAGUUGUUGCAGCUCCCCUGUCUAUGAUGACGUGCACAGAACGUUCCUUCACGACUCCCUUUGUAUGGAAUAAAUUGUGCCUCUGAUUUUGCUCAGCUUGUGUGACCUGCACACUCAAAACACGUUGAGCAACUUAACAUUCAUACCUGUCAGCGUCUUCAGGAGCCAUGUAUUGUGUCUCAUGAUCAGAAUCAUCUCCACCAUGUUCUUCAUGUGUAAUAAGAGCCAAAGUCUCCUCAUCAUAGUCACUAGCGGACUCAUACCCACCAUCCUCAGUAGCAAUCAUCACACGCUGAGAUUUGCAUUCUCUCGCAUAAUGACCUCUUCCCUUACAACGACGACAAAUAAUAUCACUUGUGUGCCCUGUUGAUACCAUGGAAGAAGAAGAACUUUGUGCAGGCCCGGCAAGUGUGCUCUUGGCAGAUAGUGGUGGUUGUGCCUGCUUUCUUGUAUCACGGCUUGAGGUGGCAGCUGAUAGAGGUGCUGGUGCAGUGGAAGUAGAGGAUGCACGCGGCGUCCAUGAUGAAGGUCGACCUGCAGAAAAGUUAGUUCGCGCCAAUGCUUGUCGAUCCUGCACUUCACGUUCAGCUUUACAAGCAAGAUGGAAUAAAGGAGCGAUAUUAGUAUACUCCUUAUACUCUAGAAUGGUCUGAAUCUCUCUAUUUAAUCCACCCAUAAAACGUGCAAGCAUAGCUUCAUUCUCCUCAACAUUACCACAUCUAAUCAUGCCAGUUUGUAAUUCCUAAUAAUAUUCUUCUACAGAAUUUUUCCCUUGUCUUAAACGCUGCAAUUUUUGAAGCAAUUCACGUUGAUAAUAUGGUGGAACCCAACGAGUACACAUAGCAGUUUUCAAAGCAGCCCAAGUAGUUGGAAUAGGAUAUAAUCUACAAUGUUCAGACCACCAUACACAUGCAAAACUAGUGAAAGCACAAACAGCAGCAGCAACCCAUCUCUCCUCGGGAUAUUGUAAACAUGUAAAACGUUGUUCAGUUUCUAACUCCCAAGUAAGAUAUAUAUCAGGAACAUAUCUACCCUCAAAUGGUGGAAUAUUCAAUUUCAGUUUAGGAAUAUGGUCAUUAUCUUGUACCUAAGGUGGUGGUGCAGGCCUACCAUUGCGAAUAUAUACCUGAGGUCGACCUGCUGGUGGUGGUGCUGGUGGCUACACGUAGUUCUGAUUUUGAUCAACCUCAUCCUCGUAAUAGUCCUCCACUUCUGCAAUAGCCACAGGAGCUAGAGAAGCACCAACAACAGUAAUAGUGGCACCAGAAUUUUGUCCUGGCUCAAUAGGAACACGCUGUGCUCGCCCUACUAUAUCGUGGCGUAGAACUGGUUGUGGGAGAUGUUUGAGUAAUUCAUCAAACUUGGCAUCCAACUUGGUGUCAAUUGUCUUCUCAAUGUCAUCCAUCCUCUCCAAUGCCUUUCCAAAGCUGGCCAUCACGUCUUCCAUCUGUUGACCCAACUUUUGAUGAAACUUAUCAUGAAGCUCCUUGUUCGUCAUGUUCUCCCAAUCAAUCUCGUCGGCUUGUGUUCCUGCCAUAGUUAGCAGCAAUAGAAAUAGACAAGAAUAUGAUCCUACAGACUAUUAGAAUAUGGUGGUGGUGGGGUGUUACAAAUCUGUCAAGCAAAUCUCAGAUUCUUACCAGUUCUUACCCUGCAGCAGGUGGUGAGCGGCAACCAUUGUAGUCAAAACUCUCAAAGCUUGGAUAGAGCGAUUACCAGGGAGAGUCAAACACAUGACGUAGAUGUAUGUGGAGCUGGGCAUGCUUAUAAUAUGGGAGCAAGAAGGGUCAGCAAUAAUCAAUUCAGAGAUGCAAAGUUGAAUAAACGGUCAACGACGGUACUGUGCUGGUCCUAGGCUAGACCAUGCUAGAGACGCGAGCUUAGAACACUAACAAAAUCACGGCGCGACACGUAAUCAAGGAAGGAGCACACUCUAAUUUUUUUUUUGAUUUUUUUCACUUUUUUUGCGUUUUUUUCCUCUUUUUUUUGUCUGCAACAAUUUGUUUUUCGAAAAAGUCUACAAAUGGUCUAAAAACUACCUAGCCAGAAUUUGUUUUUAAACUGGAACUAUUUCUCUUGUACGGGUGGCACUGAUGUUGGGAAGUCCGACUUGGUCACGACUCGGAGUAAGGCGUGAUCUGGAAAUCGAAAACAAACCAACAAAUAUUGGACUCGGACUAGGACUGGUAGCGGAGAUGAAUCUGGUGGAAACUCAGACUUGUGGCGGAUAUAUGUAGGGCGGUGGAACACGGACUCGUGGCGAAUCUGUGAUGGAGGUGGACUCGGAUUAUCGUGAUGGCGGUGAAUAUGUGGUAUAUGGCAGCGGUGAUGACGAUGAUGGUAUAUGGCACCAGUGAUGACGAUGGUGGUAUAUGGCAGCGGUGUUGACGAUGGUGGUAUAUUGUAGCGGUGAUGACAAUGGUGGUAUAUGGCAGCGGUGACAAUGAUGGUGGUAUAUGGCAGCGGUGAUUAUGAUGAUUCGGCGGCGGCGUGACAACUUGUGAACAGAACUCGAAACUCUAAAGGACUAGACACUAAGACCAUCAACUCGACACGAUGAUGCAAUCGCAAAUUCAACAAAGCAAAAGACUGAAAAGAAUAUGCAAUGGCUCAGACUAGUUCGGAUAGGAUGAAUUAACCCUAAUUUUUUUGUGGCUUUUUCGUGGACUAUAGGUAUGAUAACAGACUCGAUCUAAACUAUGAAAAACUGUAAAAUCUCACCGAGCAACCUGGAAAUCUGAUACCACUUGAUAGAGGCAAAGGUGUCCCGUCUUUCGAUGAGAUGGUGGCUAUCAUUUUGGUGGAAGUCGACUUUGACGAUCCAUCUACGAACGUGCGAGGAUGUCGCGCCUUAGCAAUCGCAAAACCAAGUCCGAGAGGUUAUUGACCACGCCGGAGCACGAUCAACCUGACCACGAAGGUCUAUUUCCUGCAAACAAACGAAGAACCAGCAAGAAACUAAGAUUGCAAUCUGGAUAUUGCGAAUAAUAGAGGAAAGCUUCAUUAAUGAAGGUGGGGUUCUGAGACGCCUUUGUCUGGUCGUUGAACACAAACAAAGUACGCGAAAUUGCAGCUAUGGCGAACUUUUAAUCUAAACAAAACCUAAAGUCUAAAUGGUGCCCUAAGGGCUGUAUAUAUGGAGGAACAGGGGGGAAUUUCGUGGCCCUUAGUGGAGGGGUCCAAAACCAACCCUAUCUCUUGUUUCCCCACACAUACGGACUCUAAAAAUAGCCUAUACUUAUGUAUUUCGAAAUUACAUGGGCCUGGCCCAAUAAAAAGGUGACGCAGCACCUAGAAUAGCCUCUGGACAAAAUUUAUAAAGUAGCAUCUUGUAUAUUUCGUCCAAGGCUUCAUGCACUAAUUGUGGUGGCUUCAAAGUCCUGAAAUCAUCACUUGCAACUCCGAUCUUGUUCCCCUUGCACAUGCCAUCAUCUCCGUGCUUGGUCUUGCUCCAAUGUUCAUCCUUCUCCAAGCUAGACCCUUCAUUUGUAAGCAAAACAAAUGUAUCCAAUUUAGGCAGCAUCAUAUUCUCAUGAGCAUUAGAAUCAUUACCAAGAAACGAAAGUACCUGGUAAUUUAAUUGGCGUGUGCGAGCUCUAGUAAUUGGUCCAGUAUGUAUAGCAGCAGGGGCUGUGGGUGUAACAAUGGUAUUGAUGUCCUCAUCAUGCCAUGAAUGCCUUUUUGUUCUUGGCUUUCACGCGAAUGAAUUACAGCAUGCCAUCUGGCAAAAACAAGGAGAAUAAGGAAUAUGGCCGCUGGAUUUUCUUCAAUUUACGGCCAAAUAAGAUUGCCCGGAUCAUAGAGUAUCUGUAGAAAGCUACGUUUGUCCCUACCAGGGGGGCUAAUGUCCAUGAGCAACAUAGUCUCACAAAUUUCCUUCAAAAGGAAGUGACAAUGGGUUCUGAAACUUGUCCGAAAAACAGCGGCGAAUGAUGUUAUUUGACUUUCAGUGCCAAAAAGUCCUUCUUAAGGCCGAAUUUGAGGAUACACCGGGCCUCCUAGCACAAGCAGGGAGUAUUUUCUGGAUUCGCAUGCUCACCGCAUGUAGUUUGAGUACUUGUGGGUCCGACACGGACUCCGAAUGACAAAGUUAUGACCGUUUUAGUGAACAUCGGUCCAUUCUAUGGCAGUCCUUGAAAGUACUUCAUCUUCCCGUGACGCUUUUUGCCUGAUCGCCCUGAAAUUUCUUGUCCUCCAUAGUGCAGAUAUUGUUUCCACAUAUAUAUUGACCGAUGCCAGGAAGGCCCUUUUGUUCUUGGCUUUAGCGCAUGAAUUACAACAUGCCAUCUGGCGACAACAAGGAGAAUAGGGAAUAUAGCUGCUGGAUUUUCUUCAAUUUACGGCCAAAUGAGAUUGCCUGGAUCAUAGAUUAUCUUUAGAAAGCUAGGUUUGUCCCUACCAGGGGGGCUAAUGUCUAUGAGCAACAUAGUCUCUCAAAUUUCCUUCAAAAGGAAGUGCCAAUGGGUUCAGAAACUUGUCCGAAAAAUAGCGGCGAAUGAUGUUCUUUAACUUUCCGGGCCAAAAAGUCCUGCUUAAGGCCAAAUUUUAUGGUACUUUGGGCCUCCAGGCGCAAGCCGGGAGUAUUUUCUGGAUUCGCACGCUCGCGGCGAGCAGUUUGAGUUCUUGUGGGCCCGACACGGACUCCGAAUGACAAAGUUAUGACCUUUUUAGUGAAUAUCAGCCCAUUCUAUGGCAGUCCUUGUGAUGAGGACAUCAAUACCAUUUUUACACCCACAGCCCCUUCUGCUAUACAUACUGGACCAAUUACUAGAGCUCGCGCAUGCCAAGUAAAUUACCAGGUACUUUUGUUUCUUGGUAAUGAUUCUAAUGUUCAUGAGAAUAUGAUGCUGCCUAAAUUGGAUACAUUUAUUUUGCUUACAAAUGAAGGGCCUAGCUUGGAGAAGGAUGUACAUUGGAGCAAGAACAAGCAUGGAGAUGAUGGCAUGCGCAAGGGGAACAAGAAUGGAGUUACAAGUGAUGAUUUCUGGGCUUUGAAGCCACCAUAACGAGUGCAUGAAGCCUUCAAAGAAAUAUACAGGAUGCCACUUCAUAAAUUUCGUCCAGAGCCUAUUCUAGGUGCUGUGUCACCUUUUUAUUGUGCCAGGCCCAUGUAAUUUUGAAAUACAUAAGUAUAGGCUAUUUUUAGAGUCCGUAUGUGUGGUGAAACAAAAGAUAGGGUUGGCUUUGGACCCCUCCACCAAGGGCCACAAAUUUCCCCCCUCUUCCUCCAUAUAUACAGCCCUUAGGGCACCGUUUAGACUUUGGUUUUUGUUUAGAUUAAGGUUCGCCAUAGCUGCAACUUCGCGUACUUCGUUUGUGUUCAACGACCAUACAAAGACGUCAUAGAACCCCAGCUUCAUCAAUCAAGCUUUCAUCUUAUAUUCACAAUAUCCAGAUUGCAAUGUCGGUUUCUUGCUUGCUCUUCGUUUGCUCGCAGGAAACAGACCCUUGUGGUCAGGUUGAUCGUGCUCCGGCGUGGAAAAUAACCCCUCGGAAGUUGGUUUAGCGAUUUCUAAGGCGCGAUGUCUCGCACGUUCGUAGUCGGAUCGUCAAGGUCGACUCCCACAGAAAACAAUAGCCACCAUCUCAUCGAAAGACGGGACACCUUUGCCUCUAUCAAGUGGUAUCAGAUUUCCAGGUUGCUCGGUGAGAUUUUAUAGUUUUUCAUAGUUUAGAUCGAGUUUGUUCUUCAUACCUAUAGUCCACGAAAAAGCCACAAAAAUUUUAGGGUUAGUUCAUCCUAUCCGAACCAGCCUGAGCCAUUGCAUAGUCUUUUCAGUAUUUUGCUUUGUUGAAUUUUCGGUUGCAUCGUCGUGUCUAGUUGCUGAUCUUAGCGUCUAGUCUUUUAGAGUUUCAAGUUAUGUUCACGGGUAUUCAUGCCGCUGCCGCACCAUCAUUAUCCUCUGCUAUAUACCACCGCCACCACACCAGAUUCAUCAUCCGCUACCAUAUACCACCACCACACCAGAUACAUCGGUGCGAGUCCAUAUACCAACACUGAUCCGACUCCAUAUACCACCAUCGACCCACAACUAUAUACCACCACCCCUCCGAGUCCAUCUCAUAUUAGGUUAACUUUCGAGAUCCAUCUGUUUCCAGAUUUGUGUUUUCCUUGUCUGAGUAGGUUUCGGAUUCCAGCAAUCUUUUGCCGUCUGUAGAAGAGGUUGGUUUCCAAAAAAGAAACCACCCUUCGUUUAGGCCCCAAAUUUUCCGAAAACGUACUUGACAAAAAAAUUCUGGCUACCCUAUUUUUAGGUGUUUCCAAGCGUAUUGAGACAAUCGCUGUUAUAGAAUGUUUUUUGAGUCGUUUCCAGUUUUUGGGUCCAGGCAGUCAAAAAAAAAUUGGUCGCAAAAAUUUCGUGUCUAUCCUGUUAUCUUGACUUGGGAAGAGUUUUGAGACACUCGCCAUUAUAGUGAUUUUUGGCAAGAAGAAAAGAGGAGCGCAAAAAAAGAGCAAAAAAAAA
rnacentral:lncRNA from 1 species